GGGCAUUGACAGUCCGUUAAGAUCAGUACGUGCUAUGUCUUCUCUCAGGGAGGGUGACUAGUCUCGAGUCAUUGGUGUGUGUGAUAUCAAGACAAGUACGUAGGUGCUCAAUAGAGAAUGAGUUCACUGAACACGAUCAACGAAGAGUUCUCAUACUCAUGUCACAUGAGAACUCAUGGUUGGGAUAAUGCAAAGUAGUCCUUUGACCUGAGGCAUCAUAGUUGUCUUGUGGUUAGGUCCUUGAUCUUUGAUUAUGUCAAAGUCACCCCAUCCGCGGGUAUCCACGGCAUCACCGGGGUUAAGCCACUUAGCCAUGGAGACAAGUGAAUGCGCAACAAGGGAUCUCUAACCUUCAAACCGUUUGGGGGAGAAUACUCUAUGAUAUGAUUAAGAAUCUCUGGCCAGAGUAUGAAUGAGAUUUAGGAAGUCGUUCCAAAUCACAUUCAAGGUAAUCAUAUAAGCCCACGAAUCACAUUGGAUAGUAAACAUGAAUAAACUAUCAAACCAGACAAUGUGGUCAAGAGUAUUGUAUUAGAGAAAGACCGUAUUGCAUUUGUAAUCCUAAACUGAUUAGGUUCUCCACCUCUUCUAAUUAGCUUGGGUAACCAUGAUAUACUGCUAGGUGUCACUCAUGGUUUGUGGAAGCCCUAAACAUGUAUAAUCACUAAAGGGAGAAUUGAAAGUAAGUUUCAAUUCACAAUCGAUUUGAAAUGGUUUUAAUCGCCCACUGCCUUGCUAAAAGGAACCUAAUGGAUCGUACACCGUGUAAGGUGGAGAUUGAAGAAACAAUGGAGAUGAGUAAGAAUAAUUAAAUGGUUUAAUUAUUUAUGGCAAGGAUUAAUUAAUAUGUUAAUUAAUCAAACGAAUAAGUUCGUUAAAGACCUUGGGAUAGUUUUGGACCUUAAGGCCCAAUGGGCUUCGAACGUCAAGCCUAUUGACUUAAGUUGUAUGACAACUUAAUGAAUAAUGAUUCACAAAGGCCCAAUUAGCCCAAUAAUACCCUAAGGCCGGCCGUUUAGAGAUGGAGUGAGUUUUGGACUUAUUUACAAGUUUGCCACUCCAAUGAAUUAAGGUAUAUAUAUGACUUUAUAGCCAAAAUUCAUUUAGGAUUUUCUUUUGGGGAAAGGAUGAGAACAUAAGCUCUCCUUUCUCUCUAAGGUGGUCGGCCUCCUUGGAGGGUUUAGCUAGCAAUCCUACUACUCCAAGGUCACUCAUUUCUUCUCCAAUCUAACCUUGGUGAAGAGACUUAUAGGUUCUCAAUUUUGGGAACUUGGGGAACCAUUUCAUCCAUCUAAAUCCAUAGAUCUAAGAUGCAAGGAAUGAAGGCCCUCUCUUUGGGUGAUUAGCCUUUGCUUAUGCAAAGAGGAAUCUACAAAGGUAUAAUUUCUCAACUAACAAAUGUUGUUUUAAGUUGAGUCAAGGUUCACCAAUCUACUAGGCUUUGAAUUUCAUGGGUAAUGUUUUGUUUUUGAGUGCAUACAAGCAUGAUUCCGCCUUUUAAUUGUUAAUUGCAUGUUAUAGAUGUUAUUCAAAUGAACAUGUUUUCACAAAAUUAUCCUUCAACCCAAAGGUUAAUUUAAGGAUAUCCACAAGAUAAUUCUCAAACAAAUAUUGCUUAUUAGCACACAACCCCAAAUCUUAACAUGAUUAAGAUUUGUCUUUCUUUCCAACUACAUCCUAUGGAGUCAUGAAAAUUUUGGAAGAUCUUCUAAUUGACAAUCAUAUUGUCUUAGAAGUAUACAUCCUAUAUAUAUGGGUAAUUGAUAACAUGCAACGAACUAAAUCUUAUUUGAGUUCGUUCUUCUCUUAAUGGAGAAAUCCAUUAUCAUAUGACGCUUCUUUCCUUGAUAUCUUUCAAGGAAACUGUUCUAAAGUGUUACCUUUCCUUGGAUCAAAUCUAAGGAGGUAAAUACUUUAGACAUCUUACUCAUCAACUUACAUUUCUUGAAUUCUUUGAAACCUUUCGCAAAGUAUUCGGACUUGUGUUUAUUCAAAAUAAAUGAUAGUCCAACCGAGAGCGAUCUUCGGUGAAUGUCAUACAACAUGAGUAGUAUUAUGUUGUGGACAAGUGCCACCAACAUCUAAGUGAAUUAACCUCAACAACUUUGUGAUUCUUUCUUCCUUUCCAAAAGAAUAAAGAUUCAAACAUUUUGCCUCUAUACAAUUUUAACAAGAAGGCAUUGGAUCUGGAUCUAACGAUCCAAAGCAUCCAUCUAUGACCAACUCAUAAUUUAUGUUUUAGAAGUAUCACAACUCAGUUGGGAUUAGUCACUACCUUGCAACCUUUUGGGUUUUAAGCAUCGUUAUAUUCUAAACAGUUAACACUACCAUAUCAUCUCUACUAUAGAGAUAAUCAAUUAGAUUACAAUAAUCUAAUCAUUCAUUAAUAAAGAACAAUGUUUUGUCAAACAAAACAUUCAUCCAUCUCUCAUAGUGACGGAAUUAAGUUCCUUAAAAUUGGAAUGUAAAGACAAUCUUUGGUUUUUCCAAUUUCUUUGGUAGUUCAUAUGAGGAAGUAAGUACAAUCUACUUUCGCAGAGAUCUACAUUUGAUUCACAUCCCGAAUGUGAAGUACUUUCUCUUCUCUCAUUAAUCUUCUACUUCUUAUUAGCCACACUUUUACAACGAUUGUAAAACAUAGUUACUAAUACGGAAUCAAGCAUUCAAGUAGAAGAACCAACUGUUUUGAACUUUUCAAGAACAAUUUACAACACCUUUGAAAGGUAUGUUCUUGACACUUGCAAGACAUUUCUUGCAAAUACCCCUUCCAAUGUCCAUCCUUUCAUAAAGAAAGUUUGUUCCCUUGGAGUUAUUUCCUCUUCUUCAUUUGACUUCUCCUUUGACUACAAUAGUCAUGGUCCCUAAACUCCCGCUAUCUCUUUUGAAACUUAUUUCAAUUGUGUUAUACACAUCAAACAAUUUGAAGAGCGUGUGGUUAUUGUUCACUAUAUAGUUUACAAUAAACUUAGUGAACCAUUUGGAUAGGGACACAAAGGUGAAGUACUUGCCUAAUUUCCGUCUCUCGAAGUGGUUUAACACUUCAACACUCAAUGAUUCAAAAUCAUCAUAAGUCCAUGUUGAUGGACUAUUUUUGUCAACCAACCAUUAUGUUCUAAACAUAAUUACAAACUUUCAAGAGUUGUUCAAGGCAACUCUCAUUUCUUCAUACAACAAUUUGUAAGUGAAGAAUCAUGGCACACAAAGUGUCCAUGUCCUUGUGCUUACUUCUUAAGUUCCUUGUUCAUGUAACAAAGAAAUGAGCACUAAUGUUUGCGUUAGCUAAGGGUUGUUCAAAGCAACUCUUAUUUCUUCAUACAACAAUUUGUAAUUGAAGAUAUAUGACAUUAAAAGUGUUGUCCCCUUUAUGAUAGACUUAUCUAACAUGUUCUUCCAAUGAUACAUUAUCAAUAAGAAGAUUGUGAGGAUGAGAUUACAUAGGUACAUAUACAAGCCAUUAUAGACAAUCUAUGGGAUUGUAGUACCAAGUCCGGGAACUAUAGCUUUCGGCUUUUCUUUGUCAAGUUUUUGGAUAGCUUUUGCAACUAUAUUGGUAAACAAAUACGUAAUGAAUAUAAAUUGAUUUUAAGCCAUUUGAUCCGAGUCUUUAAAUCAAAUAGCACCACCCACUAUUUUUGGCAAAUUCCAUAUCCCUCAUCGGAAUUUGAGAAUUUUGGAGGAAACUCUUAGUAGGGUAUGAGAGACUCAUCAUUACCAAGCCUACCUCACAAUGAUAUGAGAGAGUACGCUUACUCAUUUGCAUCUCUUGCAAGUACCCAUCUUAUUUGGCCUCUAGAGAAUGAAGCCUCACAAUGAUAUGAUGUUGGCUCCAUUGCACUUAGUUAAGUCAUUCCCACCAUGCAAGUUCGAGUAGGGGUUCAAGAACAACCUCACAAUGAUAUGAUUUUGGUCAUUCUCGUUGCCUACCUUCACAACAUCAUGUAUGCAUAUAGAACUCCUCCUGAGUGUAAGCACGCACUUUGUACUCCCCCAUGAUAGGGUAUAGUCGGUGUACGAGUCACAAACGAUCGAAGCCUACCACGGUGGAAGGCCACGAAAGAGUGUUCAAAGCACUCUCACGCUUAUCAACUUAAUAAUGGUUUGGUUGAGGGUUUUAGAUCUCAUCACAUAUAAGCAUGCAUUUUAAUCUUAUUAAAACAAUUUGGUCCUAUUACAACUAUUAGUCCAUGUGAUUGAUUUAGUUGUAUAUAAUACUCCCACUAUGCUUGUAAAACGGUUUUUAAAGCAAGAGUAUAUGGUACUACUAACAUAAGGUUUGCAUUCAUUGAUGGACUAUAUAGUUGCCUUAGGGCCUUAGGAUGACUAUGAACCCUUGAUUAGAUCCAACACGAGCCUAGUGUUGAAUCUCGGUCUAGGGAUGGUGAUUGAUUUUAGUUACGCGUUUAAUCAUAUUAAGGCGUGUUUUUCUUAUUAGGCGUUGGACCCAACUACUCCAAUUUCAUGCAUAUCAAAUAAAACAAGAAAGGAGUACUUCAAAGUAAAGAAGAGCUUAUGCUCUUUUACAACAUUUGUUCAAAACAAAUUACUUUAAAGUAAAGAAGAGCUUAUGCUCUUUUACAACAUUUGAUCAUGUCAAAUUACAACCAAAAUCUAAUCUACACAUUCUCAUGGUUCAAACAAAUUUGAGACGGCCUUUCAAAUAGCUCAAUUAUUGUAGGCUUAAGUUCAUAAUCACCCUUUCUUUAAUUGAUUAACGCUUUAACUAAUUAAACUUGAAUGCAACAUUUUCAUUUGGUUUUUGUUUAGAAUUUAUUUAAAUGGAGCUAAAUGAAAUGAAAAUCCAAUUCUCAUUUAAAGACACAAAACUAUUUUGUUCUCAACUAAUUUGGGCCAAAUGCAAUAACCACAACUUUUUGGGCUAUGUUGCAAAACACAAACUUUUGAGGUCACUUUGUAAGAACACAAAAGUCCACUACUUCAUGUAAUUACAACUAGAACCCAAAAAUUUCAUCAAAUACAAAAACUUCAUUAAAGGAGCAAAACAAUUUGUCCUUUAGUGUUUUUGGGCCUUUACGUAAAAACGUAAACUUUCGGGUUAAAGUACAAAUACACAAAAGUAUCAAAACUUUAUGUAAUUGCAUAAAAGCCCCAAAAGUACCUUAUUUUAAUAGGGUGGCCGGUUGGAGAGAGUGAAAGGUUUUGGUGAAAAAUUCAAAAUUUGAAGUGUUUUGUGCAAGUGGAUAGGUAGGUGAGGAAAAGUUGAUUGGGAUGGGGUGUAAGAAAAAUGUUUUGUCAAACAAUAAAGGCAUAAAUCAUCCAUCACCAAUCAAUAAUAAACCAAAACUUUAUUCAAAGCAACAAACAUAUUGAAUCAAAACACCAAAACUUUUUGUUCUUAGUAAGAACAUCAAGAACAUUGAAGAACACACAUGAAAACUCAUAAGAGCUCCAUGAAUGUUUUCACUCCAUAAAAUUCAAAAAUUCACUACUCAAAAGGGGGUUAACAUCCUAGGGUACUUAGGGGUUCCAAAAGUCACCUUAAAACACUUUUAAUAAGACAAACAAGAACCCAAAAAACCACCCUUUGGAUUUGGCCGAAUUUCCCCAAAAACAUGGCACCAAAUUUUAGCUCCAAAAUUCAUGCUCAUAUGAACUACAUCUACAACAUUUGAGAUGGCAAAUUUUCUAACAAAAUUUACAUUCAAAUAAGUAAGAAUAAAGCUUGUAACAAUUACAACAUUCAAAUCAAAGACUAUGAACUACAAAACCCAAAAGGAUUCACCAACUACUAGACCUAGGCUCUUGAUACCACUUGAAGGAAAUUUUGUGAAAAACAUGUUCAUUUGAGCAACAUCUAUGGCAUGCAAUUAACAUUUAAAGGCGGAAUCAUGCUUGUAUUCACUCAAAAACAAAACAUUACCCAUGAAAUUCAAAGCCUAGUAGAAAGGUGAACCAAGACUCAACUCAAGAACAAAGUGAGUUGAGAUAUUUUAUACCUUUGUUGAUUUCUCUUUGCAUAAGCAAAGGCUAAUCACCCAAGGAGAGGGCUUUCAUUCCUUGCUUCUUAGUUCCAUCGAUUUCUUGGAGGAGAAUGGUAGAAAGGAUUCUCCAAGUUCCCAAAAUUGAGAACUUCUAAUUUUUCCACACCAAGGAGGGACUUGAAGAAGAGAUGAGUGACCUUGGAGGAUGAGAGAUUGCUAGCUACUCUCCUCCAAGGGGACCGGCCUCUUAGAGAGAAAAGGAGAGCAUUGUGUUCUCAUCCUUUCCCCAAAAGAAAACCCUAAGGAUGAAAUGGCUAUAAAGUUGCCUUUAUACCACCUCACAAUGGAGUGGCAAACUUGCAAUUAAAGCAAGUUCACUACCCUCCUCUAUUUGGCCAGCCUUAAGGGUUUAUUGGGCUUUCAAGCCCUUUGUUUAUUCAAGUUGUCAUACAAGUUGAGUUAAUGGGCUUGACAUUCAAAUCUCAUUGGGCCUUGCGGCCUAAAACUAACCCGAGGUCUUUAACGAACUUUAUUCGUUUGAUUAAUUAACAUAUUAAUUAAUCCUUGCCAUAAAUAAUUAGACCAUUUAAUUAUCCUUACUCAUCUCUGUUGUUUCUUCAAUCUCUACCUCACACGGUGUACGAUCCAUUAGGUUCCUUUUAGCGAGGUAGUGGGCGAUUAGAACUCUUUCAAAUCGAUUGUGAAUUGAAACUUACUUUCAAUUCUACCUCUUGUGAUUAUACAUGUUUAGGGCUUCCAUAAACCAUGAGUGACACCAAGCAGUAUGUCAUGGUUACCCAAGCUAAUCAGAAGUGGUGGAGAACCUAUUCGGUUUAGGAUUACAAUGCAAUACGGUCUUUCUCUAAUGAAAUACUCUUGACCACAUUGUUUGGUUUGAUAGUUUAAUCAUGUCUACUAUCCAAUGUGAUUCAUUUACUUAUAUGAUUACCUUGAAUGUGAUUUGGAACGACUUCCUAAAUCUCAUUCAUACUCUGGCCAGAGAUUCUUAAUCAUAUCAUAGAGUAUUCUCCCUCAAACAGUUUGAAGGUUAGAGAUCCCUUGUUGCGCAUUCACUUGCCUCCAUGGCUAAGUGACUUAACCCUAACUAUGCCGUGGACAUGCUCUGACAUAGUGACUUUGACAUAGUCAAAGAUCAAGGACCUAACCACAAGACAACUAUGAUGCCUCAGGUCAAAGGACUACUUUGCAUUAUCCCAACCAUGAGUUCUCAUGUGGCAUGAGUAUGAGAACUCCUCGUUGAUCGUGUUCAGUGGACUCAUUCUCUAUUAAGCACCUACAUGCUUGUCUUGGUGUCAAUCACACCAAUGACUCGAGACUAGUCACUCUCCUUGAGAGAAGACACAGCACGUACUGAUCUUAACGGACUGUCAAUGCCGAAUUGGCAAUCCUAUGAUCAGGAACGUUUAGGAUAUGUAUACGAAAGAGAAUGGUCUCAUGAAUCUAACUUCUUUAAAUUACAUCCUCCUAAUUACAUAUUCCUUGGACUUAUCGUUUAAGCAUAUAACAUUUAUAUGAGACAGCUUAAAACAAUAAUCUUUGCCCUUGAUAUUAAACUAGAUUAGUUUAACAUGUGAAAUGUCCGUAAAGUAUCAUCAUAUGAUUGGUUUUAGGGCACAUUUCCAACAUUGCGUUCAUCACACACAUGAUGUAAGUAUUCUUGGUACUCUAGCCUAAAUGUAUUAACUUUUUCUAAGUUUUGAGUGACUUAGACGACUUAUUGACAUUCUAGAACAUCGUCUUGGUGGACACCUUUAUACUUAAACGAAAAACCUCCCUGCCAAGGAAAAAUCCCCAAUUGAGAGAAGUUGAUGGCCUUGAAGCAGGGCUAAUGUAUCAAUAAUUGUGUGCCACCAGAGAUUUACCAAUCAAUCCCACAACCAUCUAGUCAUUUCUACCAACCCUUUUGAGAUAGGAAACUAGAAGUAGUUUUGGUUCCUUGGCAGUACCCGCUAAAAUAUCACCUAUUAGAAUUCCUACGAAGUUUACUUCGUCAAGAUUCUAUGAUUGUUUUUAACGACAACCUUGUGCGAAUCUAGGCGAUCCUUCAUCAAGAUUCUAUAACAUUUGGGAGGAUAGCCACUUUUGGUCCAGGAUAGCACUAAUCUUUUCAAACGCACUAGUGAUCAUUCCGGAUCUUCAAGAGGAAGAUCAAUUUCCAUUUAAAUCCAUUCUAGGUAGGCUAUUAGCAAAUUUAUUUUUCCAGCCUUAGGACAUUCCAACCAAUGACUAGUUUCUAGAAUUUCUUUUGGUGUUGUACUCGUCAUUUUGACGAGCAUAGGCACAGGUGUACAAGUUGUUUUACCUAUGGUCAGUAAAAGUUCCCGAAGUGGUAAGUAUAUUCCCUAGAAUCAACGGAACCAACUUACAGGACCAAUUCCUUACCAAUCAUCCGAAACUACCACCUGAGCGGGCUCUAGCUUGUCAUUAGCCUACGGUGGUGCUACUAAUUGACGAUACUGUUCGAUAUCCAAGAACAAUCAACCAGUAUUCAGGCGGUGUGAUUCCUGAUACCAGACACAUGCUAGUAUCUGGGAGUGAUACCCAGAACACCGGUUCACCGUUUCAGGGUAACGAACAAUAUCAAAAAUAUCAAAAGUAUCAUAUAUGCAUUAAUUAGUGGUGCAACCGAUAGAUUGAUUAACAGUGACUACUUGAGCCGAAGAAACUAAAUGUUGAAAACUUAGGAGUAAACUUUGUUGGAGAACAAUAAACUUGUAGUUGUUUUAACCAUAUUUUCCACUUAGGUAACCAAAACAACUUCGACCAGCCAUAUUUCCGAUCACCUCAACAAGUAAAUAUUAGUUUGAAGCAUGAAUUAGUUCCCGCUGUAAGAGCGAAUUGAGUAUCAAGGAAGUUGUGAAGACCUAUUAGCACAUGGCGUAGUGCAAGGAAGUAGUAUGACACAUUUUGAGGACGUAUACCUUUGGCGUCAUUUCUCAAAAUUUUACUUGGGAUAUCACCAAGUGGUGAAGUGAAGUACACCAUCGUUCCACUUUCUCGUACUACAUCAGUUUUUCUUACAUCUUUUUUAUUAGGAACUUAUUUAGAGAACUUAGUUACUAAAGCUUACCGAUUAGGAAUUCACCCAACCAAACACUUCACCGUAGGGAACCUCAAACCCAACCGCGAAGGCGAAAGACCAAACUUUAGGUUUGUACCUAGACUUUAGCAACUUGAUCGAGUGACGACAAAAAAAAAAAACCAUUAGCCCUUACUUUGAGUUGAUGUUCUCUUCGACCAACUUUUAGGGCCCGAGUUUUCUUCCAUAACCUGACGAAUUUGUAGUAGCCUUGUCGACAACUUUCUCACUUAUCCCAGCAACAAGAUUAAAUUCUCUAAUCACUAGCAGUCAGCUUUAUAUCAAAUUCUUCAAAUGUUACUUUUGUUUUAAAUGGGUACUUUUCCUGGGGGAUGUGAUCUUAGUGGGCGAUAUCCUUUUCUUUUUCCCAAAAGGUUGUAGCGAAAGAAAGUUGAAAUUCUCAAAAGUGUUGUGAAAUGCAAGAUAUCUUGGCCUUAUCGAUUUUAUCAGUAGUCCGUUAGCGAUUUUUCAGCUGUAGUGUUUUUCUAUCCAAGUCAGUUGAGGAAAAUCAAUUUAGUUGAGACAUGGAAUAUGAUUAAAGUUGUGACAGCUGAGGUGACGUCUAUUUUGACCAUUGUUCAUACGCUUCUCGAUGACACUGAUUAUUUUGAAAUCUACUAUGAUGUUCCACUGAAUGCUUUGGCUACGUACCGAUGUAGCAUGACGGUGUAUCGCUUAUGUUUUCCAACGGCUGGGACGGUAUGAAAUGAACCACCUUACUUGAAAACCAGAUGACACUUCUAUGUGGGGAAGCAUGUCCAAAAUCCUUACCAACCUUAGACUUCUCAAAUACAUUUUCGUUUGUAAUGAGCUAAAUUUCUGACAACGACGAUGGAAGAACCAGAUCAAUGUCUACGCUUGCACUAUCGUGUAUUACCCUGAUUGUGCAAAUGUAAUUAAUGUUACAGCAGUAAAAGACAUAUCUACCCUUGAACAUCGUUAGCUUGUCCUAUCCCAUUCUAGUUGGGAUUCACGAGUAUCGAUUCAACGUUACUUACAAAUGAGCAAGAAUCGUUCAAGUGGUUAUAAUCACUUCCUAGAUCUGUUUGGAGUUGGGAAAUAUCACCAUAAGCUCUCGAUACAAGGUAUCUUGUACAUGUGGAGAUAAUGAUGAUGUUUCAGUGAUUAUUGAUCGACUUGACAAGUCAACUCACUCUUUGUUGGCCCAGAGUGACCACACUUUAGACCAUUUGGUAAAAUUACCCAUUCUUGAAUUCAUCAGAUUUUCUGGCAUUUCGAUCAACAUCUACUCUAAUUAUGAUUCCAUAUUUACCUCUUGGUGUUGGAAGGCAUUCCAGUUAACCGUGAGUACAUAGAUAUUGCACUUUAUAUUAAUUUUGAAGCAGAUAAACCGUUUAGGUGAAUCGUUCGACCAUUUAUAUUUUAGUUAUGACCAUUAAUUCCUCAAUCACCGAACAAAUACUUUGUUGAACGAAUCGUUACCGUUGGUGAUUAAAUAUUUCAAGAACUAUGGUCAUAGUAAGAUGUUAUGCAUUCAAUCCAGUUAUCUUGUACUUUAGAUUUGAUGGACUUGUUUUGACCCUCAGAUUCUUGAGUGUUCUUUUAUCCUUCUUGACAUAGUUUUUCACUAAAUCCGAGAGAAAUUCAAUAUGAAUCUAUUCAUUAUGGCUUUAUGAACUGCAUUGUUCGGCUAUAUGGUGUGUGUCAUGACACGUGUUUCACUUCCAAGCCUUGGGAUGUCUUCUUGAAGGCUAUGAGUACAAAAUUGUUGUCUGGUAUCACACUUCAUCCUCAGAUAAAUGGCCAGUCUGAACGAACUAUUAGGAACUUCGUGGAAUGUUGCGUUUGCCCGUUAUAUAAUUUUAGCAUGAUUGUAGUACACUUAUCUUUGUUAGAGUUGCGUGUAACUAUGGUUACACUUUCGGUUUUUGGGUAUGGCACCUUUUGAGACGUAGUACAUAAAUUCUAUACAUAAUACAUAAUUGGCGGGUAAGUAUUGCAAACAAGUAUUCGAAUGAUCAAAUUGCAAGGUAGCAAAAUUGCACGUUACUAACAAUGUUGGCCGAGAGGGUAGUGCUUGAGUGUGAUUGAGGCGUUAAUCGGAUGAUUAGGUGUAUUUCCCGAUGAGGAGCAUGAUGGUACUAUUGCAUCCUUGGGAAUUUGUCAUUUGUGUAUUGAGACAACAGUGAGUUGUUGGAAUUGCGGGCUGCAAACCAUAAUAUCGAUGACUUAUUCGUUGGGUUUGUUAAGCAAGUGGAUAAGUAGGCCGUCUACGUUAGUAUUUUUAUUUCUUCAUUUAGUUAUUUACGUAUUGUUUGGACUUGACCCAAAGAUACUACAUGCAUAUCUUCAGAUUAAGUGAUGCUAGGAAUACAUAGGUGAAAUUUUUUCUAUGUUCAAUUUUGAUUUUGUAGAACUAUUUUAACUUUACUUUAUCAUACACGUAUUUUGACGUUAUAUUAUUAUUCAUAUAUGUAUCUUGGACUUUAUGUUUUUAUAAAGGUUAUAUUAUAGUUUUGUACUAAAGGAGAAUGAAAGUUUAAGUUUGGAGGCAUGAAAGAGGAAUCAUUGCAAUCCGAGACAGAAUGGCAUUCUCUUCUAUGCAGCCACUCUAACUUGAUUUCUUCCUUAUAUAUAUUAUUCUUCUUACCAUUUUAGAGUAUUUUAUGUAUAACAAGUGAUUUCAAAUUUCGGGAACGAAAUUUUUUUAAGGUGGGUAGAUUUUGACAACUUGUCCUUAACUUUACGAUUUUAUAAUUCUAAAAGUGUGAGUUGGCCAAAAUGCCCUUAGAAGAGAGAUUGUUAACUUUCUUUGAUUGUCAUUUCAUGAUGUGUACGUGCUUCUAUUUUACCAUAUUCUCAAAGUCCUCGGUGCUAAGAACGCAUAUUCUCAAAGUACUCGGUGGCACAAGUGGAAUCGAAGUUGGAGCUACAAUGAAGAUUUUACGAAAAUAUGAAGUAGAAGAGCAUUUUAGUAAAUUCAUUAUUUAAGACUUUCACCCUUAUUAUUUUAUUAUUUUCUUAUUAGACAUCUGGGUCCGUGGGAUCCACACACAUGGGUCUCCUCUCCUUUUUGUCCCCAUGUCCUCUCCUUUGCCUCUCUCGGACAUCUCUCUCUUCACCCACUCCACCUAUCUCGUGUCCUCCCAUUCUCUUAGACCUCUCAUUUCCUGCCACCUCACAUCUCUCAAACUCUCAACUCUCUCUCUCUCUUUUCUUCCUCGGCAAGCAAAGGAGAGGACACAGGGACAAAAAGGAGAGAAGACCCAUGUGUGUGGGUCCCACGGACACAGAUGUCCAAUAAGAAAAUAAUAAAAUAAUAAGGGUGAAAGUCUUAAAUAAUAAAUUUACUAAAAUGCCCUUCUACUUCAUAUUUUCGUAAAAUCUUCAUUGUAGCUCCAACUUCAAUUCCGCUUACGUCUAUGCAUUCGUACCAUCGAGUACUUUGAGAAUAUGGUAAAAUAGAAACUCGUACACAUCAUGAAAUGACAAUCAAAGAAAGUCAACAAUCUCUCUUCUAAGGGAAUUUUGGCCAACUCACACUUUUAGAAUUAUAAAAUCGUAAAGUUAAGGACGAGUUGUCACAAUCUACCCAACCUAAAAAAAUUUCGUUCCCAAAAUUUGAAAUCACUUGUUAUACAUAAAAUACUCUAAAAAGGUAAGAAGAAUAAUAUAUAUAAGGAAGAAAUGAAGUUAGAGUGGUUGCAUAAAAGAGAAUGCCAUUCCGUCUCGGAUUGCAAUGAUUCCUCUUUCAAGCCUCCAAACUCAAACUUUCAUUCUCCUUCAGUACAAAACUAUAAUAUAACCUUUAUAAAAACAUAAAGUCCAAGAUACAUAUAUGAAUAAUAAUAUAACGUCAAAAUACGUGUAUGAUAAAGUAAAGUUAAAAUAGUUCUACAAAAUCAAAAUCGAACAUAGAAAAAAUUUCACCUAUGUAUUCGUAGCAUCACUUAAUCCGAAGAUAUGCAUGUAGUAUCUUUGGGUCAAGUCCAAACAAUAUGUAAAUAACUAAAGAAGAAAUAAAAAUACGUAAAUAACUAAAUGAAGAAUUAAUUUGGUCCCAUAUUAUUUGGUCUAGCCAAGAUUCUUUUAGCAUCCCUUAGUUUUGUGAACAAAUUUUGCGAAUUAAUUGAUGAAAUCUGCUUUCCGACAAAGGAAUUGAUGAAUUUCUUGAGCCAAAAGACUCAAAAGAACCGGAUGAAUCUCUUAGCAGAAUCUCACAACUGCCAGUAAAAGUAUCAGUUGCUAAAGGAGACUCACCCCAAAUAAUUUCGUUUUCCCAGUCUUGUAGAUUAAGAGGGUAAAAGUUAAAACUCAAAAGUGAUUGCUUUUCGUUUUCUGCAUAAAAAAUUACAGUUUGAUCCCAUCUCAUUGGUUCAUGAAUGAAAUGUGAAUCCUUCAUUUUUGCAUAGUCCAAAUCAUUGUCAUUGAAUGAGAACUCAGACAUGUCAUGUUUCUCUUUUGAAUGUGCUAGUGUCAAAGAUUGAAACCCCUUUAAGAAUGCCUCUUCAUCAUUCUCUUCAACAACAACACGAGAAACAUUCAAUGAUUUAUUAUGCCUAUUAUGGUCUCUUUUUUGUUGUUCAUCGUUCCAAAAACAUAACUAGUAUCACCAAAUAUUUUUGAAAGUCAUAGUUUGUCAAACGCCAUUCAUAAAUCCAUCAAGUGAUCGAAUCUCUUUUUGGUCUUAACAACUACGUCGUCUAUGUAACAUUCUAUGUUUUUGUGUAGCAUGUCAUUGAAGAUUUUCUGAAUUACGCGUUGAUAUGUAACCCCAGUGUUCCUUAAGCCAAAGGGCAUUACCUUGUAGCAGUAGAUACCUUUUAGAGCACAUAAGGUUGUUAGUUCCUCAUCUUUGGGAGACAUGUGGAUUUGAUUGUAUCCAGAAGAGUCGUCCAUGAAUGAUAGUGCCGCGUGGCUAGUGGUUACGUCCACCAUGAUUUCGAUGAUUGGCAAGGGAAAGUCAACCUUCAGGCAAGCAUCAUUGAGGUCAAUGAAAUCUACGUAAACACAUAUUUGUCCAGAUUUCUUAAGGGCAAUGAUGAUGUUGGAGAUCCAUUUAGGGUAUUGCACCUUUCGAAUGAAGCAUGCUUUGAUUAGCUUAUCAAUCUCGGUCUCAAUUAGUAGUGCACUUACGAAGAUAGGCUUCGGUUCCUCACUUGUGCCUUAGUUGAGCAACUUGAGAUCAUCAACCGUGGCUUGCCCCCCAUCCUCGAGCUGUGGUGGUGCAACAGGGACGUCAUCCUUGGGGAUUUCAUCUUCUUUGUCUUCUUCAAUCGUGAUGUGGAAGACGUCUUGGACCGCCUCUUAGUAUUGUCCUCUUGGGCUUGUUGGUGUGAAGAUUGGCCAAUGUGGACGAUGGUGCACCUCCUUACCUUCAGUGGCCAUUUUUGUUGGAAAUAUGCCCUGAAAGUCAAUCUUUGGAAGAAACCUUUCAGGACAAAUGAAUCGAUGUAUGGAUGACUCUUAUACAUCAAAUGGCAAAGACACGAAUUAGGACUAUCUCAAUAAACGAUAUAUGUCCUAAAUAGUGUAUCCAUGGACAAUGGAUCGAUUGAAGAAGUAAUCUAAUGAUGUUAGACUACAGAGACCUUCUUCACAUAACCAUUAUGUCCAAAAGGUUCCUAGUUAUUGGAUUGUCGGAGGGAAACUGACAAUGCUUAGACCGGUACAUACUGUGUCCGCUUCAAAUGGAAGGAUGGAAAGUCUCAUCCCAUUCGUGUUGUGACACUAAGACAAGUAUGUAGGUGCUCAUUAAGAGAAUGGGUUCACUAAACGCAAUCGAACGAGAGUACUUGCAUGGAGGUCUACUCACAUGUCAAGCAAGUAACUCUAAUGGUUGGAAUAAUGUAAGUAGUCCUUUGACCUGAGGCAUCGUCGUUGUCUUGUGGCUAAGUACUUAAUCUUUGAUUAUGUCAAAGUCACCCCAUUCGCGGAUGUCCACGGCAUAAUUGGGGUUAAGCCACUUAGUCAUGAAGGCAAGUGAAUGCGCAACCAGGAAUCUCUAAUCCUCGAUUAGAGAGGAAGAAUACUCUAAGAUAUGAUUCGGGAAUCUUCGGCCGAAGUAUCGAGCGUAAUAAAGGAAAGCGUUCCUAUACGACUCAAUAGAAUCAUAUAAGAAGGAAUAAUCACAUUAGGGGUUUGGCAUAAUAUAUCCAUACCCUAGUAAUGUGAUUGAGAGUAUUGUUUUAGAGAAGGAUCGAAUUACAUUGUAAUUCCAACUGAAUAGGUUCUCCGAACAACUUCUACAUUAGCUUGGGUAGCUAUGACAUAUGGUUAGAUGUCACUCAUAGCUUGUAAGUUCUUCUAGAUGAUUAAAUGUAGUCAUCAAAGAAGAAAGGUGAAUUAAAAUGAAGUUUUAAUUCACUAAGUGAUUGGAUUAAAUAUAAUCAAUUGGAUUGAUGUCAAUCACCUCACUGCCUUGCUAAUUAGAACCUAAAAUGAUUGUACACCGAUACACUCUUGUGUAGUGAGUAAUUAAUGGAUGAUGGAAAUAAUUAAUUGGAUUAAUUAAGUGUUGUGAUUAAUUUAGAAAGUCUAAAGAAAUCAUAAAAGCGAUAAAAGAUCGUUUUGGGCUUAAAGAAACGUUCGGGUUUAAUUGGGCCCAUUGGGCCUUUAUUCAAGCAUAGGAUGACUUGAAAUAAUAAAAGCCCAAAGCCCAAACCAAACACUAAAGGGCCGGCCACUUAAAGGGUUUGGGAGAGAUAUUUAGUCAAGUUGUUGACUAGGUUUCUUUUUGUCUAUAUAAGGAACUUUAUAGCACAAAGUUCAUUAGAGUUUUUGUGUGUUUUUGAACAACAAAGAGGCAAAAGAAAAUAGCUCUCUAAAACCACAAAGGCCGGCCACCUAGAGGGUGAAUUUACUAACAAUCUUUCACCCUUUUGGUUAUUCCUCCAUCCAUCUCACUACACUAGUGGGUGUGGAUCUUUAGAGGUCUUCUCCUUUGGAGACUAAAGGAGAACCUUGGAGCACUCUUACUAACAAAGUGGAGGAGGCAAGGAGGGAGGCUAGGCUCAAGGACUUCAAGGAACAAAGGGCUUGGAGGUGGUCCAUCCUUGGUCUCAAGUCUAGAUCAAGAGGUAUAAGACUAAACUUUCACUUUGUUCUUUACUAAAAUGUUUUGAUGCAUUAUAUAUAAACCUAUGAACCUUGAAGGGGAUUUGCAUGACUAUAGCUUUGAUAUUAUUUGAUAAAUUGCUUCCAUUGCUCAUGUAUAUAAAUUUUGAAUUGUAUAUGCAUGCUAGUCAUUUAGAAAUCCCAUGUGUUAAGCUCAUAAUUUUCCCUUCAAGUGGUAUCAAAGCCAAAGGUUUAUGUAUAAUGUGUCCUUUUGGAUUUUAUGCAUAUGGUUAUUAAUAUUAUGUAUGACAUAAUUAUUGGUUCAUUCAAAAUAAGUUUAUCUUUUGUUUUUCAAUAGUUGAAAAAUGUUAGUCAAUAGUUGAGAAAGAUAUGUAUGCAAAAAGAUGUUUUGUAUGCAUGAAUGAAAAUUGAGUUUUGAACUAGUUUGAGAUAUUAUUUCUUCAUUUAAAGUAUGUUUAUCUUUUGUUUUGCAAUGGUUGAAAAAUAUAAAUCAAGAGUUGAAAAAGAUAUGCAUGUAAAAAGGUGUUUUAGAUGCAUGAAUGAAGAGUGAGUCAUGAACAAAAUUUUGGGGUUUUGUUCUUUGUGGUUGGCACGGUUUUGGGUUUUUUUUGGGCAUGUGUUUGUGUUUUAUUGUAAGACACUCACACAUCAUUUUAAAGGUAGAAAGUAGAAACCUUGUCACUUUAGUUUUUGGGUUUGAAAAAUCACCAAGAAUACACAAAUCUUGAAAAUAUGUUCAUGGUUUUGUUCUUGGUGUUCAUAGUUUGGUUUUGGGUGAAAAUGGUUUUAUUUGGUUUUCAUGCAUAGUUUUAUGGUUUUGGAUGAUGUUCUUACCAUCCAUAACCAUAUUAAAACUUAUAAAACCCUAGACUUGUCUAGGAGAUUUCCAUCACCUUUUUCAUUAAAAUCAUUUAAACCAAAACCAAGUGACAUGCAAAUUUGGAUUUUUCUACCUUGCAUUGAAUUAAAGCAAGAUGGGUGAGACUUCCCAUCUCCCCUUAAUGUGGCCCGCAACCCUAGUGGAUUUAUCCACUUGGGGGGUCUUUUGUAAUUUGGAAAAAGAUAUUUUAUACUUUUGAGUAUUUACGGUUUGACCCCUAACUUUUUCUUAUUUGCAUUUAGGCCCCUACUAACUAGAAAGUUAAAAUAAUGAUUUUAAUUUUGUUAGUUGUUUAAACUCAUAAUUCUAUUAUGCCCAUAUGCACUAAAUCUAAAUGUUCAUGUUGCAUUCCGUUUUGAUUAUUUAAUGUGAUUAAGUAGUUAGAAAAAAGGGUGACUAUGGACUUAUGCCUUAAACGAUAAUUGAGCUAUGAGAUAAGGCGCUAAAAUCAAAUUGUUUGAACCUUGGGAAUGUGUUUUAAUUACUGUUUUUCUUGGACCUUGUCACAUUUGACAUUAAUCUAUCUCUCCCUCUUAGCAUGUGUAAUUUGUAGGAAUUUGUACAAAUCGGUUUGUAAUUCUUAUUAUUUCUUAAUCUCUUUUAGUUAGUUGAUUCCCUCUAGUGCUAGACUAGAGUUUCUUUAACUAUUGGUAAGGAGACAUAACUAAAAGAGGGUUUUGACAUGAGAUUAAAGAUUAAAUGGGUCCAAUGCCCUAAUUAGCAAUGAAUGAUUGUCUUUCAUUUCUAAUGGCUCAAUGAAAAUGUUUUAAUUGGAUUGAAAAGCACGUAAUUAAAUUGACACAACCUCCCCGAGUUUAUAUUCAACAAUGUUGGCUCGUUGUUGCAAUAACCUAAUAAGUCCAUGGUCAUCCAAGAGCCUAAGAUAACUAUAAAGUCCAAUUUCAAAGGAAUGCAAAAACCUUAGUAGUAGUAGUUACUUCCAAUAUUUGAAAAAUUAGUUUUUGAUAUUGAUUUGUUUUUCUUAAAACAAAUAGUGGGAGUAUCAUACGCUACUAAACUAUAAUGAAACAAUUAGUAGUUAUAUAUAUAUCUCCAAUAUUUUGAAAAAUGUUUUGAUAUUGAUUUGUUUUAUGAAAACGAAUAGUGGGGAUAUCAUAUAUGCUACUAAUUUCAUUAACUUUGGACUAGUAGUUAUAAUAGGACAUUAUUUAUUUGAAUAUGAUUAAAUAAAUAAAAUUUAUGAGACCUUAAAUCCCUCAACCAACAUACAAUAUUAAGUUGAAAGCGUUAAGAGUGCUUUGAACACUUUUUCGUGGCCUUCCACCGUGGUAGGCUCCAAUCGUUUAUGACUUGUACAUCCGCCUUCACCCUAUCAUGGGGGAGUGCAAAGUGCAUGCUUAUACUCAGGAGGAGUUUAUUUAAAACAUUUGAUGAGGUUAAGGUAGGCAACGAGUGUGGCCAACAUCGUAUCAUCGUGAGGUCAUGCUUGAACCCCUAUCUAAACCGGCAUGGUGGGAAAGAACUUAACUAAGAGAAAAUAAUGCCAACAUCGUAUCAUCGUGAGGCAUUACUCUCUAGAGGCCAAAAAGAUGGGUAAUCACAAGAAGGUUGUUGUGAAUGGGUAAUUGUACCCUCUCAUUAUUAUUUUUGCUAGCCAACAUCGUAUCAUCGUGAGGUGGGCUUGGUAAUAGUGAGCCUCCCAUAACCCGCUAGGAGCUUUCUUUGAAAUCUCCCGGAUUCCAUCUUGAGGGAUAUGGAAUUUGCCAAAAAUGGUGGGUGGUGUCAUUCGGUUUAAAGACCCGAAUCGUUUGACUUAAUCAACAAUCAAACUAAUUAUUUUAUUGUUUAUGUAUUUAGAUAUGGUUGGAAGCACACUCGCGAAAAUACUCGACAAACAUUGCCUAGAGGGGCACAAUUUCCCAUCAUGGUAUCGUAAUGUCAAGAUUCUCCUAACAUUGGAGAAGAUUGUUUACGUACUAGACAAGGCUCCACCUCACAUACCUCUCGGCCCUGGGGCUACUGAGGAUGAACGUGCUAAGUUUGACAAGCACGUUGAGGAUGACACACAAGCCAAGUGCUAUCUGUUGGCUUCCAUGAAUGAGGAGCUACAGAGACAGCACGAGGGCAUGGACAGUGCAUCUUCCAUAAUACUCCAUCUUACGGAGUUAUAUGGUGAAGGGACGCGCAACCGUCGCUUUAGCACUGUUUGUGAACUUGUGAAGACCAAGAUGGUCAAGGGGGCUCCAGUGCAUCAACAUGUACUGAGGAUGAUAGGAUUCAUUGAACAAUUGGAGAACCUUGGUACUCCACUUGACGGGGAAUUUUCAUAUUGGCUUCUCUUUCUGAUUCAUUCGCGCAGUUCGUAAUGAACUACAAUAUGAAUAAGAUGGAUAGUACUCUCUCUGAGUUACUAAAUAUGUUAGUAACUCCCGAGAAGACUAUGAAGAAAGAGAACGUUGUAGGGACUUCUGCAGUAGUCUACAACAAGCCAUCCUCUUCCAAGGCCAAGCCGCAAGGCAAAGGCAAAGGGAAGGAGAAGAAGCCACCCACUCCUAAGCCGAAAGGAGGAGUGAGGAAAAAGAAGGCAAAGGAGCCCAAAGGGACUUGCCACCACUGUGGAAAGGAGGGGCAUUGGAGGAGGAAUUGCAGGUUAUACCUUGCAAGUCUUAAGGACAAGCCACAAGGUAUGGUUUAUGUUCUUGUCUUCAAUUCUAAAUGUUAGAUCUUCUAAAUAUUUAUAUUUGAUAUAAAGAGCUAAUCACUUGUAUAAUUGUAUAUAGGUGGAGAAGCCAAGUAGAAGAUGAACAAGCAAGGAAAAAGUGGUGAAGGGUUCGGCCACUAUAUUUUUGCUUACUACUUAGGAAGUUUGUUAGGCAUUAAAGAUUGUCUUUAAACUUUCUUAUUUUGUUAAGAACUUAUUAUGUGGCUUCAUAUGAUGGAAGACCACUAUUAGUGCCUAAAUGUAUAAAGGUAUUUAUAUUAGUCUCUAAAUGUAUAGAGCUAAUACUUUUUGUAUUAAACAUUAUGAAUGUUUGAAAUAUCAUAUUAAUGUAAUGUGAAGAAUGCCUUUUUAAUAUACUAUUUCCUUAAAGUAGUGUUAUGAAUUGAAAAUUGUCUUGUUGUAUCUUAGUUGAGAUACAAGAGUUAUAUCACUUAUUGUAAUAUGAUAACCAAACUUUAGAUUUAUCAAUUAUGGAUAGAUCUCACAUGUAGGACAUAAAAGGAUACAAUGAAUCUUUAGAUUUGGUUCCAUUUGUCUACCUAUGAGUUCUAUAUGAAUUGACAAAAGUCUAGAGUAUCCUUUCUUGAAGAAAAGGAAGAUCACAUUAUAAUGAUAUAAGUAAUAAGAAAAAACGUUUCUUAUAUGGUUAUCACUUGAAACACAAUGAUCAAGAUCACUCUUGAUUCAAUUAGUAAUUUUGAACAACUAAUUGGGCAUUCUUUAAAAGGUUUUAAAAUGUCAAUUGUGUUAGUGAUUAAACCAAGAAAGAAUUGUCUAAAUCUAUAAAAUGUUUAAAGACUUUAGUCACUUAAUAACAAGACAUUAACUUAGUGAAGAUUGAAACAAAUAAAGCUUGAAAUGUUUUAAAGCUACUACACAAUGUCUUCUUCCAAUAUACUCCACUUUCAUACAUUUUGAAUAUAUGAAGUGAUUUCUCAUUAAAGUCAUGAGAAAUAGUGGGAGGUGUGGAAAUGGAUAUAAACUUGAAUAUGAUUGGUUUAUAGUUGUCUAGAGAAUAAUAGUAUUUGACUAUUAUUAAGAGUUUGCAAUUUUAAUUGUUAAAAGACUCAAGCUCUUCAAAACGUUAAAAUUCUAUGUUGUGUGACAUUCUAAAGAAUAGUCUUUGAAUGUUGGUUUCGUCAACCUAGCAUAAAAUGGUUAUAUGUUGGGAGUUGUCCAUAAUUCUCUUUUAUGAGAACAAGCUAAAUAACCAAGCAUAUGGACAAGUUGAUGAAACAAAAGGGAAUAAGUUUCAAACUGAGUCACAACAUAUGGUUUAACAACAAGACAAACCAAAUUCAACAUCUCAUGUAACAAUAUUGCUCUAUGUAGUUUUAAUAAAGAAUUAUAUCAACCACCUAGAUGGAAUGGUUGAGUUUCUGUAUCCUUAGUAGGAGCCAUGCUUCCACUAAAGACUUGGAUAAUUCUUAUAUGACUACAUUAAAGGUCUUAGUAUGACUAAAACUUGAAGUAUGGUGUAUGACACCAUAUAACUUAAAUGAAUAGACUUAAUGGAACAAGUCACACAUUUCAAAUGGAAUUACUUGAGAAGGAAUUCUUUUGUGUGUGAUUCAUUUAAGUUAGUGGGAGCAAUAUGCAUUCAAAUCAAGAAAAUAUAAUUGUUAUUUUUGAAUGAAUUCUAAGUUACAACAAGGCCAGUGGGAGUGAUGUCAUAAUUUGAGCAACAAGAUGUGAAUAAAGUCUAUUAGAUAGACUUGAUAAAACAUAGAUGUUGCUCGAGAAAUGACAAAACAUGACACGGUCAAUUUUGAAGUAUAAACUUGAAAUUGGACUUAUUGAUAUAGCAAGGCUACUCAAUAAUGUUAUAUGGGAAUUAAAUCUCAAAUGUUGUAGAUUUAAGAAAGCAUUUUCCUAUGUAAUAGGAAAUUACUUUCAUAACCCUUAUAAUGAAUGUGUCAUAAAAUCACAAAAGGGACACAUGUAUUGACUUGUGAAGUAGAUAUCCAAAAGUGAAGAACCACAGAGGUUGUUAGUUUAAGAUAUUACUAUAUCCCAGGAUCAGAACCAAAGCAACUGAAAGAGUAUUAUUGCCUUUAAGAAAGAAACAUCAAAGUGGGACUCUGGAAGCGUGCAUUCACUUAGGUUGUUAACCAAAGUGAAAAUAAGCCAUUUUAACAAAUGGAACUUCAUAAUGGAUGAAGUACUAAUCAUAUGAAUGAUUGUUAGUAUUGUACUACAAUGGUCUCAAGGUUGGAGCAAAGUUUGUAUAAAGUAUACAAACGAAAUAUAUGUCGAUAUAUAGUUUUAGAAACUGCUUCAAAAGGUGUUUUGAAUGGAAGGGGUUCUUUUAGAACCAAUGAUUGAAUCCAAACCAUAAGGUCGUUAGUAGGAUACUACGACGUAAUGGGGCGAUAACUCAAGCCAUGGAUGAAGGAAAAUCUAUGAGAUUCAUGUAUGCGAUUUCUUAAUGACUAUCAUGCAUAUACAAAUCAAAUUUAAUAUACGAAAGCAGCGGAAGCAUUUAUAACAUAUUAUCAAAGCUAUAGUCAUGCAAAUCCCCUUCAAGGUUCAUAGGUUUAUAUAUAAUGCAUCAAAUAAAAUUUUUAGAGAAAAGAACAAAGUGAAGGUUUAGUCUUAUACCUCUUGAUCUAGACUUGAGACCAAGGAUGGACCACCUCCAAGCCCUUUGUUCCUUGAACUCCUUGAGCCUAGCUUCCCUCCUUGCCUUCUCCACUUUGAUAGAAUGAGUGCUCCUAGGUUCUCUUCAAGUUUCCAAAGUAGGAAAUCUCUAAAGAUCCUCACCCACUAGUGUAGUGAGAAGGAUGAAGGAAUAACCAAAAGGAUGAAAGAUUGUUAGCUAAAACACCCUCUAGGUGGCCGGCCUUUGUGGUCUUAGAGAGCUAUCUUUCUUUUGCCUCUUUGUUGUUCAAAAACACACAAAAACCCUAAUGAACAAUAUCUCUAUAAAGUUCCUUAUAUAGACAAAAGAAACCUAGCCAACAACUUGACUAAAUAUCUCACCCUUUCCACACCUAAAAUGGCCGGCCCUCUUUGUGUUGUUUGGGCUUUGGGCUUUCAUUUAUAUCAAGUCAUCCAAUGCUUGAAUAAAAGCCCAAUGGGUUUAGGCCCAAUGGGCCCAAUUAAACCCGAACGUUUCUUUAAGCCCAAAAUGAUCUUUAUCGCUUUUAUGAUUUCUUUAGACUUUCUAAAUUAAUCACAACACUUAAUUAAUCCAAUUAAUUGUUUCCAUCAUCCAUUAAUUACUCACUACAAUAGUGUAUUGGUGAACAAUCUUUUAGGUUCUAAUUAGCAAGGCAGUGAGGUGAUUGGCAUUAAUCCAAUUGAUUAUAUUUAAUUCAAUCACUUAGUGAAUCAAAACUUCAUUUUAAUUCACCUUUCUUCUUUGACGACUACAUUUAAUCAUCUAGAAGAACUCACAAGCUAUAAGUGACAUCUAACCAUAUGUCAUAGCUACCCAAGCUAAUGUAGAAGUUUAUUCGGAGAACCUAUUCAGUUGGAAUUAAAAUGUAAUUCGAUCCUUCUCUAAAACAAUACUCUCAAUCACAUCAUUAGGGUAUGGAUAUAUUAUGUCAAACCCCUAAUGUGAUUAUUCCUUCUUAUAUGAUUCAAUUGAGUCGUAUAGGAACGCUUUCCUUUAUUACGCUCGAUACUUCGGCCGAAGAUUCCCGAAUCAUAUCUUAGAGUAUUCUUCCUCUCUUAUCGAGGAUUAAAGAUUCCUUGUUGCGCAUACACUUGCCUUCAUGACUAAGUGGCUUAACCCCAACUAUGCCGUUGACAUUCUAAUAGAGUGACUUUUGACAUAAUCAAAGAUCAAGUACUUAACCACAAGACAACAAUGAUGCCUCAGGUCAAAGGACUACUUACAUUAUUCCAACCAUUAGAGUUACUUGCUUGACAUGUGAGUAGACCUCCAUGCAAGUACUCUCGUUCGAUUGUGUUCAGUGAACUCAUUCCCUUAAUGAGCACCUACAUACUUGUCUUAGUGUCACAACACGAAUGGGAUGAGACUUUCCAUCCUUCCAAUUGAAGCGGACACAGUAUGUACUGGUUUACGCAUUGUCAGUAUCCCUCCGACAAUCCAAUGACCAGGAACCUUUUUGGACAUUUGGUUAUGUGAAGAAGGUCCCUGUAGUCUAACAUCAUUAGAUUACUUCUUCAAUCGAUCCAUUGUCCAUGGAUACACUAUUUAGGACAUAUAUCGUUUAUUAAGAUAGUCCUAAUUAGUAUCUUCGCCAUUUGAUGUAUAAGAGUCAUCCAUACAUCGAUUCAAUUAUCCUGAAUGGUUUCUUCCAAAGAUUGACUUUCAGGGCAUAUUUCCAACAAUGGAAUCAAGGUCUCAUCAAAGUAUUCGAACACAAUAAAGAGACAUCAUCAAAUGUUUUGGAAACAUUUGAUAAGAAAAUCCCUUUUAAAUAAUAAAAGGGAUUAAUACAUAACCAAGUUAACCUACGAGCAUAAGCUCUCUUAACAAGAUGUAUAAGAUACACUAGUGAUUGACUUUAGUGCAAGUGGGAGAUUCUUGGAAAUAUGCCCUGAAAGUCAAUCUUUGGAAGAAACCUUUCAGGACAAAUGAAUCGAUGUAUGGAUGACUCUUAUACAUCAAAUGGCAAAGACACGAAUUAGGACUAUCUCAAUAAACGAUAUAUGUCCUAAAUAGUGUAUCCAUGGACAAUGGAUCGAUUGAAGAAGUAAUCUAAUGAUGUUAGACUACAGAUACCUUCUUCACAUAGCCAUUAUGUCCAAAAGGUUCAUAGUCAUUGGAUUGUUGGAGGGAAACUGACAAUGCUUAGACCGGUACAUACUGUGUCCGCUUCAAAUGGAAGGAUGGAAAGUCUCAUCCCAUUCGUGUUGUGACACUAAGACAAGUAUGUAGGUGCUCAUUAAGAGAAUGAGUUCACUGAACACAAUCGAACGAGAGUACUUGCAUGGAGGUCUACUCACAUGUCAAGCAAGUAAAUCUAAUGGUUGGAAUAAUGUAAGUAGUCCUUUGACCUGAGGCAUCGUCGUUGCCUUGUGGCUAAGUACUUAAUCUUUGAUUAUGUCAAAGUCACCCCAUUCGCGGAUGUCCACGGCAUAAUUGGGGUUAAGCCACUUAGUCAUGAAGGCAAGUGAAUGCGCAACAAGGAAUCUCAAAUCCUCGAUUAGAGAGGAAGAAUACUCUAAGAUAUGAUUCGGGAAUCUUCGGCCGAAGUAUCGAGCGUAAUAAAGGAAAGCGUUCCUAUACGACUCAAUAGAAUCAUAUAAGAAGGAAUAAUCACAUAAGGGGUUUGGCAUAAUAUAUCCAUACCCUAGUAAUGUGAUUGAGAGUAUUGUUUUAGAGAAGGAUCGAAUUACAUUGUAAUUCCACCUGAAUAGGUUCUCCGAACAACUUCUACAUUGGCUUGGGUAGCUAUGACAUAUGGUUAGAUGUCACUCAUAGCUUGUGAGUUCUUCUAGAUGAUUAAAUGUAGUCAUCAAAGAAGAAAGGUGAAUUAAAAUGAAGUUUUAAUUCACUAAGUGAUUGGAUUAAAUAUAAUCAAUUGGAUUGAUGUCAAUCACCUCACUGCCUUGCUAAUUAGAACCUAAAAUGAUUGUACACCGAUACACUCCUGUAGUGAGUAAUUAAUGGAUGAUGGAAAUAAUUAAUUGGAUUAAUUAAGUGUUGUGAUUAAUUUAGAAAGUCUAAAGAAAUCAUAAAAGCGAUAAAAGAUCGUUUUGGGCUUAAAGAAACGUUCGGGUUUAAUUGGGCCCAUUGGGCCUAAACCCAUUGGGCCUAAACCUUAUUCAAGCAUAGGAUGACUUGAAAUAAUAAAAGCCCAAAGCCCAAAGCCCAAACCAAACACUAAAGGGCCGGCCACUUAAAGGCUUUGGGAGAGAUAUUUAGUCAAGUUGUUGACUAGGUUUCUUUUUGUCUAUAUAAGGAACUUUAUAGCACAAAGUUCAUUAGAGUUUUUGUGUGUUUUUGAACAACAAAGAGGCAAAAGAAAAUAGCUCUCUAAAACCACAAAGGCCGGCCACCUAGAGGGUGAAUUUACUAACAAUCUUUCACCCUUUUGGUUAUUCCUCCAUCCAUCUCACUACACUAAUGGGUGUGGAUCUUUAGAGAUCUUCUCCUUUGGAGACUAAAGGAGAACCUUGGAGCACUCUUACUAACAAAGUGGAGGAGGCAAGGAGGGAGGCUAGGCUCAAGGACUUCAAGGAACAAAGGGCUUGGAGGUGGUCCAUCCUUGGUCUCAAGUCUAGAUCAAGAGGUAUAAGACUAAACUUUCACUUUGUUCUUUACUAAAAUGUUUUGAUGCAUUAUAUAUAAACCUAUGAACCUUGAAGGGGAUUUGCAUGACUAUAGCUUUGAUAUUAUUUGAUAAAUUACCUCCGUUGCUCAUGUAUAUAAAUUUUGAAUUGUAUAUGCAUGCUAGUCAUUUGGAAAUCCCAUGUGUUAAACUCAUAAUUUUCCCUUCAAUUUUAUGUCAACCUCCAAUGUUGCUUAGCAUUUCAUAGCUUCGAACGUCGUCUUUUUUUGCUAGACCAUUGAGUUUUUCUUCCUUUAGCAUUGUCUUUCUCUUUCUAGAAGGCUUUUUAGUUUCUUCGAGUCUUUCCAAGGCUGACCGUCAUGGAGGAGAGCUAGCCAUGUUGCUUUGUUUCUUAGGUUUUGACAACCUUUAAAAAACAGAGCUUUGGGGUGUUGGCGUGUUAAGCCUUUUGAAGACAGAGGUUUGGUCUUGACCACCAAUGCAAUCAAGUGCUGACAUUCUGGGUUUUGAACGGUUUAGCCUAUCAAAGACUGACAUUCGAGGGGUAGGUUUAUGCUCCUCUUGAUUUUGUUCAACGCUUAUGCUGAUGUGUUGAGCGCUAGCGUUUUUUGCUUUUCUUGAAAUCUUUACAAGCUUAUUUGGUGUGAAGCCAAGUCCAUCUUUGUUAUUGUCAACUCCGUAACCAUGCUCCUUCAACUUCUUUUGAGUCUCGGUGAUGUCACGUUCUUUGUUGUUGACGGUGUCUGAAACCUUAUUUCCAAGAUUUGAAGGGGAGGCAAAAUUGUACCCAGCCUUUGACAUGAGUUUAUAGCCAUUUGGGUCGAAGCCUUCUUCAGUCCUCUUGGUUGGAAGAUAGCUUGGUUUUGCCUCAUUUGGCAAGGGUUUUAUGAAACCUUGUGGUGGUUUUGAAACCUUAGCAUCACCUAGCUAUGUCAGAGGUAAAACGACAUUUGUCUUGAGCAACAUUACAUCAUCCAUGAGCAGCUGUGUGUUAGCUUUGCUUGUUCUAGUUUCGAACAGGGAUUGCCCAUUCUUUCUUCUCAACAUGGUGAUGUAUCAGAAGACGGGUGUGUUUGAUCCUUUUGAGGGUGUCACACUCUCUUUGUUUGUUAUGGGUUUGGCAGGCUCAUCAUUGUUUUUGUUUGAAGAUGGCACAGCUUCCCCUUCUUGCUUCUUAGGCAUAGCUUGCGAGAUCCAUUUAUACUACAAUAACCUUGUGAUUCUUGCAAGUAAAAUAGGAGAUUUAAGCCCGUUCACAUGAGUAGUAAAAAUCCUAUCAAGAAAAUGGCGCCGUUGCCGUGAAGGAAAAAUUUUGUCCUAGCUAAGAACAAGUAUGAACAUUUGAAUACACAUGCAAGCUAUUAACACUUUAAAGUAGGCAUGCAUCCAAAAACAAUUCAUAAAACCCAUGACUUUCAAAGCCUAGUAUAUGGUGAACCAAAAUAAACUCUUUAACAACAUUAAAGAGAAAGAAGAAUUUAGUGAUUCUUUACCCUUGAAGCUCAUCCUUGAUUACACAAGGGAUUCACCCAAGUGGAGGGCCUUCAAGUCACCUCCAAGCUCCUUGAAUCCUCCUUGUGUUUUCCUCCCUUUAGUGCUCCUUUGGAGAUUUGAGGAAAUAAGGAUUUGUUCUCCAAAACACCAAAAGCUUGAUGUCUCUAAGUCUCUUCACCAAGGUUGUAUCUUGUGAAGAUGAAAUGGAUUACUAAGGGAAGAAGAGAUUGCUAGAUGUCCCCUCCCUUAGUGGCCGACCUCCUUAGAAGAAAAUGGAGAAAAUUUUUUACCCAAUUUCAACAAGAAGAACCCCUUAUGAGAAAAUUGCUAUAAAGUUGCUUUUAUAACAUUUUCUUUGGUGAGUGGCAAACUUGUAAUUAAGCAAGCUUGCCCAUUCACCCUAAUGGCCGGCCUCUCCUUGUUAUUGGGCUAAUUUGCCCAUUUUGUUUUUGUUGUCAUACAACUUAAACAUAAUGGGCCUUUUGGACCAAAACGCUUUUGGGUCCCGAAACCCAAAACCAACAUAUAAGCCCAAUACGAACCUUUCGUAAAAUUAAUUAACUAAUUAAUUAAUCUUGACCAUUCUUCAAUUAAACCAUUUAAUUGCUUAUCCAUUUCAUAUAAUUUCUUCACAUACAUCCUUACUCAGUGUACGAUCCAUUAGGUUCCAAUUAGCGAGGUAGUGGGCGAUGCUACUCUUAACUAUCGAUUGUGAAUUGAAACCACAUUUCAAUUCUCCCUUUAAUGAUUAGUGUUACCUAAUCAUUUGGGCUUCCACAAACCAUGAGUGACACCUAGCAGUAUGUCAUGGUUACCCAAGCUAAGUAGAAUUGAUUGGAGAACCUAUCCAGUUACAACUACAAUGCAAUACGGUCCUUCUCUAAUACAAUACUCUUAAUCACAUUGUUUAAGUGAUAGUUUGUUUCAUGUCUACUAUCCAAUGUGAUACUUUCCUAUAUGAUUCCCUUGAAUAUGAUUUGGAACAAACUUCCUAAGUCAUAUUCAUUUGCUUUGGCCAAAGACUUUAGAAUCAUAUCUUAGUAUUCUCCCUCCACCAUGGAAGGUUAGAGAUCCCUUGUUGUGCACUCAUAUGCCUACAUGACUAGAUAGCUUGACCCCAACAAUGCCAUGGACACUCCAAAGGAAUGCCGUUGACAUGAUCAAAGAUCAAGGACCUAACCAUUAGACAUCUAUGAUGCCUCAGGUCCAAGGACUACUUUGCAUGUUGCAACCUUAGAGUUCAUACAUGACAUGUAUGUUCGAACUCUCUUUUGAUCGUAGUUCAGUGAACUCGAGUACUCUUUUGAGCACCUAUGUGUUUGUCUUAGUGUCCAACACCAAAUGACUUGAGACUAGUUAUACUCACGAUUGAGUCAACAUAACACAUACUAGCCUUAGCGGAUUGUCAAUGCCCAAUUAGCAAUCCUAUGGCUAGGAACGUUUUAGGAAUGAAUCUAAGUGAAAGGUCUCGAUAAUCUAACUCAUUAGAUCACUUAUCUCUUAGAACAAAUACAUUCCUUGGAUUCCUUUAUUGCAUAAACACAUGAUACAAUAAAUAGUGAUUAACAAUAAGAUUUGCCCUCCAUUAAACAUAUAAAAGUUUAACAGAACAAGUAUUCCAAAAAGCUAUUACAUCAAAUGAGUGGCUUUGUGGGCAUACUUCCAACAUGCCGGGGAUUAUUUAAAAUAAUCCCUACUAAUCAGAUUUUCAAUUAGUUAUUGCUGUUCAUACAAAUAAAAAAAAAUUAAUUUUUGUUUUUAUUUUAUUUUUACAGAUUACAACAGUACAACAAUGCAGAUUUCAGAAAUCUGUGCAUGGUCAGCACCCAUUCAACAGUGCAGAAAUUGAUUCCACUUGAUCCAGAACUUGAGCUAAAUUUAAGGAGGAAACGCUGGGAGCAAACUUUGCAGAAGGUUCGUCCUCUGCAGGAGACAUUUUUGCAAUCAGUCUUUUCUGGGGACCUGUACAACAAAGAAAAAAUGGCAUUUGUAAUUCCAGAGGCAGGUCUGCCCCUAGGUGAUUCACUGACUGCCCAUACCACAAAUAUACCAAGUUGCAUUACUUAUCCGACAGUGGAGGAAGGGACUGCAUUUGAAAUAAAGCAGCACAUGUUGAAUAUUCUACCUACAUUUCAUAGGUUAUCAUCUGAUGAUCCUAACAUGCACAUUGCAGAAUUUUUAAUGGGGUGCAAAAACAUUUUGGUGAGGGGAUUUUCAGCUGAAUCUAUUAAGCUGCAAUUAUUUCCAUACACAAUAAAAGAUCAAGCAAGGAGAUGGCUCCUCACACUCCCAUCUGGAAGCAUUAGUACUUGGGCCCAACUCGGUGAAAAUUUUUUAAACAAGUAUUAUCCGGCUUCUAAGACUCUUGACAUGAGAACUCAGAUUUUAUCUUUUGCCCAAAACCAAAUGAGGAGUUUCAUGAGGGAUGGGAGCGGUUCAAAGAGUUGAUUAGAAAAUGUCCGCAUUCGGGUAUUAACACUACUGAUCAAAUGCAUAUAUUUUUUAGAGGGUUGAAUAUGACUACAAAAACACUUGUCAACACUUCAUGCGGAGGUUCGUACAAAGACAAAAAUGUACAAGAGGCUUGUUUGUUAUUUGAAAAAAUGGCAGCAGAUACACAGCAGUGGGCAGUUGAGCAGCCACAAUCUAGGUCUAUUUUUGAGAUGUCUAACGGUUCUCCGUAUGUUAUAGCAUAAAUUGAAAAAAUGGAGAAAAGGCUUGACGCAAAAUUUGACAUGUUAUUACAGAGAAUACCAGGUUCACAGGUUGCUGUACAGCAGCCCUUACAAGCUGUCUGCAGCAUUUGCAACAUGAUAGCUCACGAUUUUAUGAGCUGCCCACAUAAAGAUGUUUCUCCAGAUUUUACAGCAGAGCAAGUUAAUGCAUUUAACAAUUUCCAGCGCCCCCGAUAUGAUCCGUAUUCUAAUUUCUACAACCCAGGUUGGAGAGAUCAUCCUAAUCUAAGGUCGGACAAGGAACAGCACACUAGGCCUCAAUUCCAACAGCAGGUACAGCAACCUGCUGCACCUAAGGCUGCUUGGGAGGUUGCAAUUGAAAAAUUGGCAAAUAGUACCACUCAAGAAAUUCAAAAUCUACAGGCAACAGUGAAAAACAUGGAAAACAGAUGGGGCAGAUUGCUUUGCAGGUUUCUGGAAGGGCACCGGGUACAUUUCCCAGUCAAACCGAACCAAAUCCUAAGGGAGGUGCCGAUUGCAAGGCAGUUAGAGUUCUACGUUCCGGCAAAAGUUUUGAUAACAGGGAUGAAAAUUGCGAUCAAAAUUCGCGGGUGGCUUCGCAGCCAAAAACAGAUUCGGGGAAUGUUGAAAAAUCUACCAAUUCGAAAGAUUCUGAACAGUCCUUGAACAGUUCCGAAAAUGGUGCAAAUAUUGUUACGGAUCGCGUGUAUGAGCCACCUAUGCCUUAUCCCGAAAGAUUGAAGCCUAAAGUUAAAGAUCAACAAUUGGCAGAUUUUAUGAAGACUUUGUCUAAGGUUCAGAUUAAUCUGCCGUUAAUUGAUGCCAUCAAGAACAUUCUGUCUUAUGUUAAGUUUUUGAAAGAUGUUUACACAAAGAAAAAGAAGCUUGUUGAUUUUGAGAAAGUGAUUCUUACAGAAUAGUGCAGCGCUGUUCUGCUUCACAAGUUGCCCCUAAAGAAACGAGAUCCAGGGAGUUUUACAAUUUCAUGCACAAUUGGAAAUUCUCAUUUUAAACGUGCUUUAAUUGAUUUAGGUGCUAGUAUUAAUUUAAAGUCUUUUUCUGUUUUUCAGAGACUAGGACAAGGAGAAAUCAAGCCUACAUCAGUUAUUCUACAACUAGCGGACCGUUCAGUUGCUUAUCCAAGGGGUAUUAUUGAAGACCUAAUUAUUAAAGUGGAUAAUCUCUAUCUUCCUGCAGAUUUUGUGAUUUUGGAUAUGGAUGAAGAUAUGCAAACACCGAUUAUUUUGGGAUGUCCCUUCAUGGCAACAGCUAGAACGUUAAUUGAUGUAGAGGCUGGAACACUUACACUUAGAGUGCAAGAUAAAUCUGUUGUGUUCAGUUUGUUUGAAGCUACUAAAAGGCCAGGUGAUGUGCAUGAUUGUAUGCGUAUUGAUGUGCUUGACAGCUUAUUUCAUGCUGAAAUUAUGCCACGUUUGACAUAUGAUCCAUUGUUAAAUGUGUUGCAUGGGUUUGAGAAGAAAAAUACAGAAGAUGAAGAGGUUUUUGAGUAUGUGUUGGCUUUGGAAAGUGUUUCAUUUCAACCCCCACAUUGGAGGCAUGUUUUUGAGAGUUUGGGGGAACCCAAAAAGCUGUUGCAGCCUUCUAAGGUACAGCCACCUAAACUGGAGUUAAAGGUGCUUCCAGAACACUUGAAAUAUGCUUAUUUGGGUGCAGAUUCUUCGCUGCCAGUUAUUAUAGCUGCUGAUUUAUCAUCAACAGAAGAAGAUAAAUUGUUGCGCAUUUUAAGGAGUCAUCAAGAUGCAAUUGGCUGGACUAUAGCUGACAUUAAAGGGAUCAGCCCUACAAUUUGUAUGCACAAAAUUUUGAUGGAAGAUGGAGUAAAGCCUGCCAUUGACGCUCAACAUCGUUUGAAUCCAAUUAUGAAAGAAGUUGUUCGUAAUGAAGUUAUGAAACUUUUAGAUGCUGGGAUGAUUUAUCCCAUUUCAGAUAGUAAGUGGAUUAGUCCAACUCAAGUAGUGCCAAAGCGUUCUGGUAUUACAGUUGUGAGGAAUGAUAAUAAUGAACUUGUACCUACUCGUUUGACUACUGGGUGGCGUAUGUGUGUUGAUUAUAGAAAGAUCAAUGCAGGUACUAGAAAAGAUCAUUUUCCAUUGCCAUUCAUUGAUCAAAUGUUGGAAAGGUUGGCUGGUCGUGCUUUCUAUUGUUUCUUGGAUGGCUAUUCAGGGUAUAACCAGAUUCCAGUUGCCCCUGAGGAUCAAGAAAAGACAACCUUUACUUGUCCUUUUGGGACUUUUGCAUAUAGAAGAAUGCCUUUUGGUUUGUGCAAUGCGUCUGCCACAUUUCAGCGUUGCAUGAUGAGCAUAUUUACCGGGUUAGUUGAACAUAUAGUUGAGGUAUUUAUGGAUGACUUUUUCUGUUUUUGGGGAUUCUUUUGACCAAUGUUUGCAGAAUUUAUCUCUAGUUCUUGAAAGGUGCAUUAAGACCAACCUGGUUUUAAAUUGGGAAAAGUGUCAUUUCAUGGUUAAGCAGGGAAUUGUCCUAGGCCACUUGAUUUCUAACAGGGGUAUUGAAGUUGAUAAGGCUAAAAUUGAUGCAAUUGAAAAGUUGCCACCCCCAACAAUUGUUAAGAGUGUUCGAUCUUUUCUUGGUCAUGCCGGGUUUUAUAGACGGUUCAUCAAAGAUUUCUCCAAGAUUAGCCGACCAUUGUGUAAUUUAUUGGCUAAGGAUGCACCUUUUGUUUUUGAUGAGGCUUGUUUGGAGGCCUUCAAGAACUUAAAGACACUCCUCACUACAGCACCCAUUAUUGCAGCGCCUAAUUGGAGCCUACCUUUUGAAUUGAUGUGUGACGCAUCAGAUUAUGCAGUGGGAGCAGUUCUUGGACAGCGGAAAGAUAGACUUCCCCAAGUUAUUUAUUAUGCUAGUCGAACCCUCAAUGAUGCACAACUCAACUAUGCUACCAUAGAGAAUGAAUUGUUGGCAAUUGUUUUUGCAUUGGAAAAAUUUCGUUCGUAUUUAGUUGGGGCUAAAGUGAUUGUUUAUACAGAUCAUGCAGCUUUGAAAUAUUUGUUGUCUAAAAAAGAGGCUAAGCCUCGAUUGAUACGUUGGAUUCUUUUAUUGCAAGAGUUUGACUUAGAAAUCAAAAAUAAAAAAGGUAGUGAAAAUGUGGUGGCUGACCAUUUAUCUAGAUUAAUUAUUCCCACAGCUUCAGAAGAGGAUUCCCUACCACUGAGGGAAAGUUUUCCAGAUGAACAAUUAUUUGCAGUCCAAUUCCGUACACCAUGGUUCGCUGAUAUUGUUAAUUAUUUGGUUAAAGGUGUAGUGCAUCCAGAAUUAACAUUGCAGCAGAAAAAGAAGUUUUUAUCUGAUGUCAAGGAUUAUUUCUGGGAUGAACCAUACCUAUUUAAGUAUUGCCCAGACCAGAUUAUUCGCAGGUGUAUUCCUGAAGCCGAACAGGAAAGUGUUUUAAAGUUUGCUCAUCAUUUUGCUUGCGGGGGAUAUUUUGGAUAGAAAAGGACAGCAGAGAAGAUUUUGCAAAGUGGGUUAUUUUGGCCUACACUUUUUAAAGAGGCACAUAAUUGGUGCAAGGCUUGUGAUAGGUGUCAAAGAGUCGGCAACUAGUCCAAAAGGAAUGAGAUGCCCCAGCAAAGUAUUUUGAUUGUUGAAUUAUUUAACGUUUGGGGUAUUGAUUUCAUGGGACCAUUUCCAUCUUCCCAUGGGAACCAAUAUAGUUUAGUUGCUGUGGAGUAUGUUUCUAAGUGGGUCGAGGCCAUUGCAGCACCAACUAAUUAGGGAUUAGUGGUCCUGAAGUUCCUCCAAGGGGUUAUAUUUCCGCGUUUUGGAAUUCAACGCGUUAUUCUUACUGAUGGGGGGAAGCACUUUAUUAAUAAACCAUUUGCUAAUUUGUUGGCAAAAUAUGGGAUUAAUCAUCGUGUGGCUACACCUUAUCAUCCACAGACAUCUGGGCAAGUGGAAGUUUCAAACAGAGAAUUAAAACGCAUUUUGGAGAAAACAGUUGGUUCAACACGUAAAGAUUGGAGUUUAAAAUUAAAUGAUGCAUUGUGGGCCUACAGGACAACUUAAAAAACUCCUAUUGGGAUGUCACCAUUUCGACUCGUUUAUGGGAAAGCAUGUCAUCUACCUAUGGAGCUUGAGCAUAAGGCUUAUUGGGCAAUUAAAGAGUUAAAUUUUUCGUAUGACUCAGCUGGGGAACAACGUAAAUUGCAGCUCAAUGAGCUGGACGAAAUUCGUCAGGCUGCUUAUGAAAGUUCUCGCAUCUACAAGGAAAGAACUAAAGCGUUUCUUGAUAGUCAAAUUUUACGGAAAGAAUUUCAGCCAGGGCAAAAGGUUAUGCUAUUCAGUUCAAGGCUAAAGUUGUUUCUAGGGAAAUUGCAAUCUCGUUGGACUGGGCCAUAUCUAGUUACAAAAGUAUUUUCUCAUGGGGCAGUUGAAAUAACUAAUGAGGCCCAAGGCAACGCAUUCAAGGUGAACGGUCAGGCUGAAACCAUACGUGGAGUCACCUUUUGAUACUGCAUACGAGUCUUUGACUCUGAAGGAACCAGUGAUCUAGCCACCGGACUUCCGCAACGUCUAGCUACAGACUUAAAAUAAAGCGCUAAUUGGGAGGCAACCCAAUUUUUCUAAACUCUUUCCUAAUUUUAAAUUUCGUUUGAUUUUCUCUUUAAUAAAAAAAUAAAUUAAAAAAAAAACAUACAUAAAAAAAAAGAAAAAAAAAACGAAAAAUUCAAAAAAUGGAAGAUUGCAGGUUGAUUUUAUUUACCCAGUUUAUUUGAUUUUAUUUUAAUUUUUUAACGCAUAUUGGUUAAUUGCAGGUUGCGACCGUGGAAAAUAAAGCGCAUCCUAUGCUGGAAUCCUGCACCCAGCAGCAAGUCUAACGUUCACAUCAACCACAUCUACACUAUGCUGGAAAUUUAAAGCACUCAACAUAACAAGUCAUUCAUAGAUGCAAGUUUGGGGGAGAUUGUUGCAGAUCCAGCACAGAGACAAAAUUUUGACCAGUUAAUUUUCUGCAGCUCAGUUUUGCGAUGCAUGGAGGAGAACCACAGUUAAAUCACAAAUCCAUACACCACAAAACUGAGUACAACUUUUAUUACCAGAUCUACAACAAUUCAACUUGCAAGGAUAUGAAAUUUUACGUCCCAGAUUCACCGAUCUGGGCUCUUGGAAGCUUGUGCCGUUUUUGUCUAUUGAAGCUGAUGUUUGUCCGUCCACUUUAUUUCCCACGGAUCUAUUAGUGAUCCACAUUUCCUGAACAUUUCACAACAGAAAGACUAAUGACACUUUGAUUUUCAUGAUCCAGGUUAUGUAUCACUUAUAACACACAAGCUUGUGGAAGUCAUAUUUUCUGAAGGUCUUAUUCAUGUUGUUAUUUGUUCAUCAAAUCUGGGGUCCUUUACGUUUUAGGGUCCAUACUUUUCGUGGUCAUUUAGUCUUCGUUAAGUCUCCCGCAUUUCAAGUUCACUUUCAUCAUAUUGUUGGAAAUGUGCCCUAAAGCCAAUCAUGUGAUGAUACUUUACGAACAUUUCACAUGUUAAACUAAUCUAGUUUUACAUAUAAAGGGCAAAGAUUAUUGUUUGAGCCGUCUCAUAUAAAUGUUAUAUGCUUAAACGAUAAAGUCCAAGGAAUAUGUGAUUGGGAGAAUGUAAUCUAAUGAAGUUAGAUUCAUGAGACCAUUCUUUCGUAGACACAUCCUAAACGUUCCUGAUCAUAGGAUUGCCAAUUGGGCGUUGACAGUCCAUUAAGAUCAGUACGUACUAUGUCUUCUCUCAGGGAGAGUGAUUAGUCUCGAAUCAUUGGUGUGUGUGACAUCAAGACAAGUACGGUAGGUGCUCAAUAGAGAAUGAGUUCACUGAACGCGAUCAACGAAGAGUUCUCAUAUUCCAUGUCACAUGAGAACUCAUGGUUGGGAUAAUGCAAAGUAGUCCUUUGACCUGAGGCAUCAUAGUUGUCUUGUGGUUAAGUCCUUGAUCUUUGAUUAUGUCAAAGUCACUCCAUCAUGAGGGUGUCCACGGCAUCGUUGGGGUCAAGCCACUUAGCUAUGGAGACAAGUGAAUGCGCAACAAGGGAUCUCUAACCUUCAAACCGUUUGAGGGAGAAUACUCUCUGAUAUGAUUUGAAUCUCUGGCUAGAGUAUGAAUGAGAUUAGGGAAUGCGUUCCGAAUCACAUUCAAGGAAAUCAUAUAAGCACAAGACACACAUUGGAUAGUAGACAUGAGAAAAUAAACUAUCAAACCAAACAAUGUGGUCAAGAGUAUUAGAUUAGAGAAAGACCGUAUUGCAUUUGUAAUCUCGAACUGAAUAGGUUCUCCACCUCUUCUGAUUAGCUUGGGUAACCAUGAUAUGCUGCUAGGUGUCACUCAUGGUUUGUGGAAGCCCUAAACGUGUGUAAUCACUAAAGGGAGAAUUGAAAAUAGUUUCAAUUCACAAUCGAUGUAAAAUGGUUUUAAUCGCCCACUACCUCGCUAAAAGGAACCUAAUGGAUCGCACACCAUAAAAGGUAGAGAUUGGAGAUUAAACGGAAAUGAGUAAGAAUGAUUAAAUGGUUUAAUCAUUUAUUUAUGGCAAGGAUUAAUUAAUAUGUUAAUUAAUCAAACGAAUAAGUUCGUUAAAGACUUCGGGAUAGUUUUGGACCUUAAGGCCCAAUGGGCUUCGAACGUCAAGCCCAUUAACUUAAGUUGUAUGACAAUUUAAUGAAUAAAGAUUCAUUAAAGCCCAAAAGCCCAAAUCCCUAGGUGGCCGGCCAUGAAGAUGAAUUAGGGUUUUGGUUGUUUUUAGGUCACUUAAAGAAGUGACUAUAUAAAUGACUUUAUAGCCAAAUAUUCAUUAAGGAUUAAAAGGGUUAAUUUUUGGGGAAAAUUGGUGAGAAUUGUCUCUCCAUUUUCUCUCUAAAGAGGCCAACACCUUGGAGGGUACAUCUAGCAAUCCUACUACUCCAAGGUCACUCAUUUCUUCUACAAUCUAACCUUGGUGAAGAGACUUAGAGGUUCUCAAUUUUGGGAACUUGGAGAACCUAUUCUUCCAUCCAAAUCCAUGGAUCUAAGAAGCAAGGAAUGAAGGCCCUAUCUCUUUGGGUGAUUAGCCUUUGCUUAUGCAAAGAGGAAUCUACAAAGGUAUUAAUUUCAACUCACUUUGUUUUGAGUUGAAUAUUGGUUCACCAAUCUACUAGGCUUUGAAUUUCAUGGUAAUGUUUUGUUUUUUGAGUGCAUACAAGCAUGAUUCCGCCUUUAAUUGUUAAUUGCAUGCUAUAUGAUGUUGCUCAAAUGAACAUGUUUUCCCAAAAGAUUUCCUUCAAGUGGUAUCAGAGCCUAGGUCUAGUAGUUGGUGAAUCCUUUUGGGGUUUUGUAGUUCAUAAGUUUGUGAUUUAAAAGUUGUAAUUGUUACAAGCUUUAUUCUUGCUUCUUUGAAAGUAAAUUUUGUUGGAAAAUUUGCUAUCUCAAAUGUUGUAGAUGUUGUUCAUAUGAGCAUGAAUAUUGGAGCUAAAAUUUGGUGCCAUGCUUUUGGGAAAAUUCGGCCAAAACCAAAGGGUGGUUUUUUGGGUUCUUGUUUGACUUGUUAAAAGUGUUUUAAUGUGUUCUUUGGAACCCCUAAGUACCCUAGUUUGGUUAGAUGUUAUUUCCCUUAAGUAAGAAUGGUUUUGGAAUGUUUUUGGGUGAAAAGGUUCGUGGAAAAAUUUAGGUUUUUCAUGGAUGUUCUUCAUUGUUCUUGAUGUUCUUGCCAAGAACAAAAAGGUUUGGUGUUUUGAUUCAAAGUUUUGAUUUAUUUCAUAAAGUUUAUGUGAUUUGUUUUUAAAUGAUUUAUCAUGUAUUUAAAGUGUUAAAUAUUUGUAUAAAUGAUGAUUGAAAUAAUUGUGAUUGAAUUAUUUUCAAAACUUAUCCUUUCACAUACACUUGCAUGAUUAAUUUUGACAAAACUCACAAAUCAACACACACAUCACUCUUAUCCUCUCCCCAAAACCGGCCACUCCCUCAAAGGGAGUACUUUUGGGGCUUUUAUGCAAUUACAUAAAGUUUUGAUACUUUUGUGUAUUUGCACUUUGGCCCAAAAGUUUACGUUUUUACGUUUAGGUCCAAAAACGCUAAAGGACAAAUUGUUUUGUUCCUUUAAUGAAGUUUUUGCAUUAUUAAAAGUUUGGGUUCUAGUUGUAUUUACAUGAAGUUGUGACUUUUGUGUAUUGUACAAAGUGACCCCAAAAGUUUUUGUUAUUUGCAAUAUGGCCCAAAAAGUUGAGGUUAAUUGCAUGAUGGCCCAAAUAGGAUGAGAACAAAAUUGUUUUGUCUCUUUAAAUGAGAAUUGGAUUUUCAUUUUGUUUAGCUCCAUUUAAAUCAAUUUUAUGGAUACAAAAACCAAAUGAAAAUGUUGCAUUCAAUUUAAUUAGUUAAAGUGUUAAUUAAUUAAAGGGUGAUUAUGAACCUAAGCCUAAUAUAAUUGAGCUAUGUGAAAGGCGUUUCAAAUUUGUUUGAACCAUGGGAAUGUGUAGAUUAGAUUUUGGUUGUAAUUUGAUUUGAUCAAAUGUUGUAAAAGGGCUUAAGCUCUUCUUUACUUUAAAGUAAUUUGUUUUAUGCAAAUGUUGUAAUGAGCAUAAGCUCACCUUUACUUUGAAGUACUUCUUUCUUGCUUUAUUUGAUAUGCAUGAAAAUGAAGUAGUUGGGUCCAACGCCCCUAAGACAACACGCCUUAAUGUGAUUAAACGCGUAACUAAAAUCAAUCACCAUCCCUAGACCGAGAUUCAACACAAGGCUCGUGUUGAAUCUAAACAAAGGUUCAUAAUCAUCCUAAGGCCCUAAGGCAACUAUAUAGUCCAUCAAAUGAAUGCAAAGUUUAUGUUAGUAGUAUCAUAUACUCUUGCUUUAAAAACCGUUUUUUAAAAGCAUAGUGGGAGUAUUAUGUACAACUAAAACAAUCAUAUGGACCAAUAGUUGUAAUAGGACCAAAAUUGUUUUAAUAGAGAUUAAAAUGAAUAUUUAUAUGUGAUGAGACCUAAAACCCUCAACCAAACCAAUUAUUAAGUUGAUAAGCGUGAGAGUGCUUUAGAACAUCUCUUCGUGGCCUUCCACCGUGGUAGGGCUCCAAUCGUUUAUGACUUGUACACCGGCUUCACCCUAUCAUGGGGGAGUACAAAGUGCAUGCUUAUACUCAGGAGGAAUCCAUAUACAUAUGAUGAGGUGAGUGUAGGCAACGAGGAUGGCCAACAUCGUAUCAUCGUGAGGCUAUUCUUGAACCCCUACGAACUAAGCAUGGUGGGAAUGACUUAACUAAGUGCAAUGGAGCCAACAUCAUAUCAUUGUGAGGUGACAUUCUCUAGAGGCCAAAUAAGAUGGGUACUUGCAUUAGUUGCAAAUGAGUAAGCGUACUCUCUCAUUAUUAUUGUUGCUAGCCAUACAUCGUAUCAUUCGUGAGGUGGGCUUGGUAAUAGUGAGCCUCCCAUAACCUACUAAGGAGUUUCAUCCAAAACUCUCGAAUUCCAAUGAGGGAUAUGGAAUUUGCCAAAAAUAGUGGGUGGUGCUAUUUUGAUUUAAAGACCCGAAUCAAAUGGCUUAAAAUCAAUCAAUUUAUAUUCGUUAUGUAUUUGUUUACCAAUAUAUUUGCAAACGCUAUCCAACACUUGACAAAUAAAAGCCGAACGUUUAGUUUACCGGACUUGGUACUACAAAACCAUAGAUUGUCUUUAAUGGCUUGUAAAUGUACCUAAGUAGUCUCAUCCUCACAAUCUUCCUAUUGAUAAUGUAUCAUUAGAAGAAUAUGUUAGAAAAGGUCUAUCAUAAAGAGGACAACACUUUUAAUGUCAUAAUUCUUCAAUUACAAAUUGUUGUAUGAAGAAAUAAGGAGUUGCUUUGAACAACCCUUAGUCAAUGCAAACACUUAGUGCUUGUUUCUUUGUUAAAUGAACAAGGAACUUGAGAAGAAAGCACAAAGGCAUGGACACUUAAUGUGCCAUGAUUCUUCACUUACAAAUUGUUGUAUGAAGAAAUGAGAGUUGCCUUGUACAACUCUUGAAAGUUUGUAAUUAUGUUUAGAACAUAAUGGUUGGUUGACAAAAAUAGUCCAUUAACAUGGACUUAUGAUGAUUUUGAAUCAUUGAAGUGUUGAAGUGAUAAAACCACUUAACGAGACGGAAACUAGGCAAGGACUUCACCUUUGUUUCCCUAUCCUAAUGGUUCACUAAGUUUAUUGUAAACUAUGUGUAGUGAACAAUAACCACAUGCUCUCCAAAAUGUUUGAUGUGUAUAACACAAUUGAAAAAGGUUUCAAGAGAGAUAGUGGGAGUUUUAGGGACCAUGACUAUUGUAGUCAAAGGAGAAGUCAAAUGAAAGAAGAUAAAUAAACUCCAAGGGAACAAACUUUCUUUAUGAAAGGAUGGACAUUGGAAGGGGUAUUUGCAAGAAAUGUCUUGCAAGUGUCAAGAACACACCUUUCGAAGGUGUUGUAAAAUUGUUCUUGAAUAGUUCAAAACAGUUGGUUCUUCUACUUGAAUGCUUGAUUCCGUAUUAGUAACUAUGUUUUACAAUCGUUGUAAAAGUGUGACUAAUAAGAAGUAGAAGAUAUAAUGAGAGAAGAGAAAGGUACUUCACAUUCGGAAACGUGAAUCAAAUAUAGAUCUCUGCGAAAGCAGAUGGUACUUACUUCCUCAUAUGAACUACCAAAGAAAUUGGAAAAACAUAGAUUGUCUUUAUAUUCCAAUUUUAAGGAACUAAAUUCCGUCACUAUGUGAAAUGGAUAAAUGUUUUGUUUGACAAAACAAUUGUUCUUUAUUAAUCAAUGAUUGGAUUAUGGUAAUCUAAUUAAUUGUCUCUAUAGUAGAGAUAAUAUGGUAGUGUUAACUGUUUAGAAAAUAAUGAUGCUUAAAACCCAAAAGGUUGCAAGGUAGUGACUAAUCCCAACUAAAGUUGUGAUACCUCUAAAACAUAAAUUACGAGUUGGUCAUAAAUGGAUGCUUUGGAUCGUUAGAUCCGGAUCCAAUACCUUCUUGUUAAAAUUGUAUAGAGGCGAAAUGUUCGAAUCUUUAUUCUUUUGGAAAGAAGAAAGAAUCACAAAGUUGUUGAGGUUAAUUCACUUAGAUGUUAGUGGCACUUGUCCACAAACAUAAUACUACUCAUGUUGAUAUGACAUUCACCGAAGAUCACUCUCGGUUGGACUAUAGUUUAUUUUGAAUAAACACAAGUCCGAAUACUUUGCAAAAUGUUUCAAAGAAUUCAAGAAAUGUAAGUUGAUGAGUAAGACAUCUAAAGUAUUUACCUCCUUAGAUUUGAUCCAAGGAAAGGUAACACUUUAGAUAAGUUUCCUUGAAAGAUAUCAAGGAAAAUAGCAUCAUAAAGAUAAUGUAUUUCUCCAUUAGGAGAAGAACGAACUCGAAUAAGAUUUAGUUCGUUAGAUGUUAUCUAUUACCCAUAUAUAGGAUAUAUACUUCUAAAAACAAUAUGAUUGUCAAUGAGAAGAUCUUCCAAUAUUUUCAUGACUCCAUAAGAUGUAGUUGGAAAGAAAGACAAAUCUUAAGCAUGUUAAAGAUUUGGGGUUGUGUGCUAAUAAGCAAUAUUUGUUUGAUAACAAUCUUGUAGGAUAUCCUUAAAAUUAACUUUUGGAUAUCGCUUCUAUAAACCAACUAACAAAUGUUGUUUUGUUGGGUAGUUCAUUGUAAUUCUACAAUGUGAUUUGCCUAAAAGCAAAUGAACGAGAGAUAGAACUCAAAGAAUGGGUUCUUUGAGAGACAAGAUAAGUAAUCAACAAAUAUAACAACCUAGUUCCUAUACCACAAGCUCCAAGGUAGUCGAUAAGGAUUUAUAAACCGUCUCAGUUGAAUGGUUUUGAACUUUAUGACUACAUUGAGUGCAUAUACGAUAUAUACUCAAGGAAAAUGGUAAAGUACCAUUUGACUCGAAAUAAUGAAACCUUCAUAGCUAAUUGGUAGCUUAAGGUGACUACAAUCAAAGAGAAUGGUUGACUUUGAAGAAACCAUCUUUGACGAUAGUCUUGGUUUCAAUUAAUUCGAAGAUUGCUAGCUACAACUAAAUGGUGAUUCAAUGUUUGGACAUAAUAUGGGUUUCCGAAACCAUUAUUAAGAUAGUCUUGAUAAUAUAUGUCUAAAACUAUAAAUCACAAGACAUGUAAGUUGUAGAGAUCCAUCCAUCAUGGAUCUUAGCAAGUUAGUGGGAGCUAUUUGCAUUUUAUGAGAAAAAAGGAUCAAAUCGUUUGAUUUCUCAUAAAGAUGUAAAUGAAUCUUUUGUUUACUAGUUUUUACAAAAGAUUAGUGGGAGUUAAUCAUGUUCCUAAAAAUUUAAAUAUAUAUGAUAUAUUAAUUUUGGAAAUGAAAAGAAUACUUCUUCGUUAAAGUUAUGACUUUAAUACAUUAUAUGAAGAUAGAAUGUAUAUGGGAGAUAUAGUCUAUAUACAUGGGAUGGAAAUCUAUAAUGAUAUAUUUCAUGAUAUAAUUGGAUUAUAUCAAUCCCUAAUAAUAGACAAUGGAUGCUAGGAAGUUUCUCAUAUGAUGAUAAACUUCAAUAAGAAGGACGAUUCUAGUGAGACUAGCAAGUUGCCCUUCUCAAAGGGAACGUACCCUUUGACUCCCAAAGAAAUAAUGCGUAAAUUGAAUCCUUUAUGCAUACGCAGAAAGGUGAUUUAUGUAUUUCAUAUUGUAUGAAAAACAUUGAUAUGAGUUGUACCUAGAACGGUACAAGACGAUAUCAGUGCAAGCCCAGGAUCAGAACCAUGGCAACUGUCAAGUGAGUCCUUAAGUAUUUAAGAAAUACUAAAGGAUAAAUUCCUCAAAGAAUCGAGGAAGAAUUAAAGUAACGUAAUGGAAGCGUAAAUGUAUUAGAUUAUGAAUCUAAUCCAUCAUUGGAUGUUUCUUCAUUAUGAAUGAAGAGAUAAACGAAUAUCUCUUUAUUAUGACUAAAGAGAUAUUUGGAUGGAAACAUUAAAGUAAUGACUUUAGUGUGUUCCAUUAUGAAUGCAAGAUAUAUUGCCAUAUAGAAGUUUACAACAAUGUUGUUUGGAUGGGAAAGUUCAUUUAUGAACUCUCUAUUCGGUUCCAACCAGAAAGUGUAUGACACUAAUGGGGCGAUAGCUCAAGCCUGGGAAUCAAGGUCUCAUCAAGAUCCGAACUCAAAUGAGAGACUGAACCACAUGAUUGAGAAUCAUGUAUAAUGGUGACGUCGUUAUUCUCAAGGUUGCUUCUAUGGAUAACACAUAUAGAUAUCCACUGUCUAGGCCUACUAUUCAGCCAUUUAUGAAAUGACUACAGAAGAGGUAUCAUCAAGAUGACCAAGCUGAUUGGCUCUAGUGCAAGUGGGAGAUUGUUGGAAAUGUGCCCUAAAGCCAAUCAUGUGUGAUGAUACUUUACGGACAUUUCACAUGUUAAAACUAAUCUAGUUUUACAUAUAAAGGGCAAAGAUUAUUGUUUGAGCCGUCUCAUAUAAAUGUUAUAUGCUUAAACGAUAAAGUCCAAGGAAUAUGUGAUUGGGAGAAUGUAAUCUAAUGAAGUUAGAUUCAUGAGACCAUUCUUUCGUAGACACAUCCUAAACGUUCCUGAUCAUAGGAUUGCCAAUUGGGCAUUGACAGUCCGUUAAGAUCAGUACGUACUAUGUCUUCUCUCAGGGAGAGUGAUUAGUCUCGAGUCAUUGGUGUGUGUGACAUCAAGACAAGUACGGUAGGUGCUCAAUAGAGAAUGAGUUCACUGAACGCGAUCAACGAAGAGUUCUCAUAUUCCAUGUCACAUGAGAACUCAUGGUUGGGAUAAUGCAAAGUAGUCCUUUGACCUGAGGCAUCAUAGUUGUCUUGUGGUUAAGUCCUUGAUCUUUGAUUAUGUCAAAGUCACUCCAUCAGGAGGGUGUCCACGGCAUCGUUGGGGUCAAAGCCACUUAGCUAUGGAGACAAGUGAAUGCGCAACAAGGGAUCUCUAACCUUCAAACCGUUUGAGGGAGAAUACUCUAUGAUAUGAUUUGAAUCUCUGGCCAGAGUAUGAAUGAGAUUUAGGGAAUGCGUUCCGAAAUCACAUUCAAGGAAAUCAUAUAAGCACAAGACACACAUUGGAUAGUAGACAUGAGAAAAUAAACUAUCAAACCAAACAAUGUGGUCAAGAGUAUUAGAUUAGAGAAAGACCGUAUUGCAUUUGUAAUCUCGAACUGAAUAGGUUCUCCACCUCUUCUGAUUAGCUUGGGUAACCAUGAUAUGCUGCUAGGUGUCACUCAUGGUUUGUGGAAGCCCUAAACGUGUGUAAUCACUAAAGGGAGAAUUGAAAAUAGUUUCAAUUCACAAUCGAUGUAAAAUGGUUUUAAUCGCCCACUACCUCGCUAAAAGGAACCUAAUGGAUCGCACACCAUAAAAGGUAGAGAUUGGAGAUUAAACGGAAAUGAGUAAGAAUGAUUAAAUGGUUUAAUCAUUUAUUUAUGGCAAGGAUUAAUUAAUAUGUUAAUUAAUCAAACGAAUAAGUUCGUUAAAGACUUCGGGAUAGUUUUGGACCUUAAGGCCCAAUGGGCUUCGAACGUCAAGCCCAUUAACUUAAGUUGUAUGACAAUUUAAUGAAUAAAGAUUCAUUAAAGCCCAAAAAGCCCAAAUCCCAUUAGGUGGCCGGCCAUGAAGAUGAAUUAGGGUUUUUGGUUGUUUAGGUCACUUAAAGAAGUGACUAUAUAAAUGACUUUAUAGCCAAAUAUUCAUUAAGGAUUAAAAGGGUUAAUUUUUGGGGAAAAUUGGUGAGAAUUGUCUCUCCAUUUUCUCUCUAAAGAGGCCAACACCUUGGAGGGUACAUCUAGCAAUCCUACUACUCCAAGGUCACUCAUUUCUUCUACAAUCUAACCUUGGUGAAGAGACUUAGAGGUUCUCAAUUUUGGGAACUUGGAGAACCUAUUCUUCCAUCCAAAUCCAUGGAUCUAAGAAGCAAGGAAUGAAGGCCCUAUCUCUUUGGGUGAUUAGCCUUUGCUUAUGCAAAGAGGAAUCUACAAAGGUAUUAAUUUCAACUCACUUUGUUUUGAGUUGAAAUUGGUUCACCAAUCUACUAGGCUUUGAAUUUCAUGGUAAUGUUUUGUUUUUUGAGUGCAUACAAGCAUGAUUCCGCCUUUAAUUGUUAAUUGCAUGCUAUAUGAUGUUGCUCAAAUGAACAUGUUUUCCCAAAAGAUUUCCUUCACAUAUCAUGUUCGUCUGUAUGUUGUUAGUUCGAUUCAUGUUCAAACCCGCAUAUACAUAUGGUUUUUGUUAACAUUUUUCAAAGUUCCAUGGACGAAAUUAAUCAUGACAUUUAAACAAGAGCAGGGAUGAGUUUAUACCUUCAUAAUCGAUAGAUCAAGACUUUCAUGAUGUGCCAUGCUUUAUGUCCAGUGGAUUUUCAUUUUGAGAGUUCUUUCUCCGGUCUGUCACGGAUCUGAGUGUUGUGCACAAAUACCACACCAUUAUAAUUACAUGCAGAGGUGAUGAAGCUAUUUUCUUACAACAUGGGGUUCAUUAACCUACGGAGUACAAGAUUUUUACCUUUUGCAGGAACUGGAUCUACAUUGUAGCUGGUUUUCAUUUUUCUUGUCAUGGUUAAGCUUCCAGAUCGAGGACCUGUGCCCACAAACGAAAUAAACAUCAGUAUACACAUGCAGUAUGGCGUAUCUGAGACAUAAAACCCAUCAUAUGGAGCUGCUCGAGUAACAUUAAACAGAUGCACAUAUCUUACCUUCACAUUUCCAUGGCAGAAGUUGAAGGGUUUCGGGUUUCCGCAAAGACAAGGACGUGGUGUAGGUCGGCUCGGAUUUGCAACUCUUGGGGGUCCUCACACAGCUGAAACGACAUGCAUGUGUUAGAUCUCACUGCAUUUCACUCAUACACAUAACUCUGAAACUGAACCCAAAAGAUUUUUGAGGGAUUUACCUUCCUUCAUCUCAGCUUUUCCACUCUUGUCACCAUGGUUGUGUUCGAGAAACACGGAGGUGUGUAGAUAGCUGGGCUGUUGGUUGCAGCACGGAAGCCACGUUUAGCGAGGAUGCAGAAGCAGCUGUGGAAAGGAGGGAAAAAUGUGGGGGAAAGAGGUAUUUUUCGUUUUACAGAGACAUGGGAUCCGAAAGAAAUGAGAAAAACAAUAAAUGGGAGGAAGAAAGAGUUGCUGUGAAAUGGAGAGAGUAAAAGCAUUUUCAGACUUUUCUAGAGAGAGCUAGAUGGGCAUAUGGGGUUGAUCUUAACCCUUGAUUUGGAAUCCUAUGGCGCUCAUCUUUCCGAUGCAUGACAAGUGGGCGCAUCCUCUUCUUUUAGGCUCCCGAAGACACGGUUUGUGGGGAGAGAGCCCUUUGGGCUCUGUGUUUGAUGACUGACAGAGACAGAAAAAAAAAAAAUCUGCACGCCACUUUCACACGGCAUGCUAGUUGCAUGCCUUUCAAAAAGGGAAUCCAAAGUUUUAAAUUGUUGGUGCACGCCUGCUGUGCACAUGGAUUUGGUCCUAUCUUAAUCAAGUGGGUGCUGUGGCUGAUAAGUUUAUUUUAAAAAAUCUGCAUGCCAGCUGCCAGUCACUUUCAAAUAGGGAAUCCAAUGUUUUCAAGUUUUGGUGCACAUGUGCCGUGCAACUUCAUUAUUCAACCUUUUCAUUGGGCCACCUAUUUAUCCACCAGCAACGUCAUUUUCAAAGCCCAGGUAGUCUUUUUCUUUUUCUUUGGUUUUGUUACUCAUUUUCCCUUUUAUAAUUAUUAUAUGUUAGUUUAAGUUUAUUUCAUUUUUUUUAUUUUCCACACCUUGAGGACAAAGUGUGAAAUAAGUUUGGGGGUGAGUAAAUAACAUUUUAGGUCUUUAAUUUUUGUGUCGGUUAAAAGUUUUCAUUCUUUUUAAGUUAAUAUCCAUAGAUUAUUUUAAACGUUAGAACAAAUGGACAUGGUGAAGGUUAAUCCCACAUUAGAGUCUUUGCUAUUUAUCGUUGCUUAGACACUAAUUCAUGAAUUAUACUUUGAACUUUGCACAUCACACCAACAUGGUUUGUGGGGAGUGAGAUUGAAACACUUGCUUUUAGUAUAAGUUUAUUUUUAAUUUUUGUUUUAAGUAAAGUCAGUUAUUAUUGUGAAAAAAAGUAAUAAUUGUCUCACCUGAGGUUUUUCCUAGUAACCGGGCCAGUCCUGCCUAAUCAGCAGUGAUUCUCGCGUCAAACGGUAGAGUUUUGGCAUGGGGCAGGGUGGUUAGUUGGUUUCGUAGCCUUUUCAGCUCGGGUUAAUAAGUCCUUAGGGGUGUUCUACACCUAGUGCCCUAAAGCCCUAGUGGUUUGGGAGUCAUUGACCUAAAGCUCGCUACAUGGGUUGGAUCGAAAGCUUAAGUGAACCGACAUUGCACGACCACUACUGUUACUGAGAAAAAAAAAUUGUUAUAAAUGAGAAAAAAAAAGAAGAGAAAAAAAUUGAAGAGAAAAAGAAAAAGCAAAAUAGUUAUACUUAAAGUUAGUAUGUGUGAAAUAAAGAAAGACGAGAGAUAAGGGUUUUAGUCGAGUCUCCUUAACUAUGUGGUUCACUUUACACCAAAGGAAGUUUGUGAAUUCUUUUCUAAUUGAUUCUAAAUGGUUUAGACUCUGUGGUGGGAUUAGUUGGAACUUUUGAAAAGAUGUUCUAGUUUUUAAAAUUUGCUAUGGAUUGCAACUUGAAGGUGGAAGUUUUGUCUUGGUUGAGUUUUAGCCAGUUGUCUAGUUUGUUAAGUUUUUAUUUUUGUUUGAGUCUUGUUUUGCUUGAGGACAAGCAAAAAGCUAAGUUUGGGGGUAUUUGAUGAGUAGAUUUUAUAUUAUAUAUUUUACCCUAAUCUUAGUAUAUUUUGGCUAAUAUAUUGAUAGAAUUUUGAUACUUUGAAUUGUAUUUUCAAUAUAGGACUUCCGAAUUCCUCUGGAGCAAAACAGGACCAAAUGGACGACUUUUGGAGUAAUUCCAGUUGGAGGACGUUCGUGAGUCACUUAGCUUGAUCGUGUCAAAAAUUGGGAUUUUUCCACCAAGCGGUUAUUUUCUGACGAUGAAAUAAAGAAGCAGUGCGCAGUGCUGGAAAAUGACGUUUUUGGGCUUAAAUUGCGUUUUUGGAGCCCAAGAUGACCUCGGAUGGGUUUGUGGCCUUCUGGAAAAAUGUUCAGAAUAUUCCAAACAUUAAAUCCAGCUAUAUUGGGCCAGUUUUGGAGCAGCUUAUGGAUCAAAACGUGGCUGUUCAGAUUUUAGACGAAUUUUAUCAUUUAAUUUAGGCUUAUGUUUCCUAGGGUUUGUGUGGAGGCUUGGGAGAUAUAUUGCUUGGCCGUCUACAGUUUUUCUUUACGCUUUCUUUUAUGCAAUUUUGGGAGACAGAGAGAAUUGUUAGGGUUUUGAAGACUUUUUACUUGAAGGUGCUUUCAAUCCUUUUCUUGAAUAUAUUUUCUAUGAUUUCAAUUAUGAAUAUGCGGAACUAAUUUCUGUUGCUAGGGCGAAGCCUUGAGCCUUAGCAUGAAUAUGUGAUUUUUAUUUAAUUGCUUAUGAUUGAUUGCAUGUGUACUUUGAAUUGUUAAUCACCGGGAUAAAAACUAUCUAAUUGUCGUAAUGCCUGAUGACCAUUAGGAUCUUUAGAAAAGUAAUUUGAUGCAAUUUUGGUCGGAAGGUUCCCUGAAAUUGACGCUGGCUUCUUGUGAUUAAUAAUUGUAAUUUCUCUUAGGAUGAAUAUCACGUCUUAAGGAUUGCAUGGUUUUUCAAAGGAUUUUCAUAAAGCAUAAUGAGUCUUUCAUGUUUAGAUUUGAUCCGAACGUCCGGACGGGUUGCAUGUUAGAUAUAUGUUCUAUGUUGGAGGUUCCAAGUAGAAUAGGAAUUAGGAAAAUCUAACCUUCGAAGUGGCAUGUGUAGAUUAUAAGUAAUUGGUAAAAAUUCAUAGGAUUGCUAGGUGAUGGUGGAACCCUAGUGCUUUCUUAAUUUUAUUCUCCCAAAACAGUUUUCUUUUCUCUCUAGCUCUAAUAUUGCAGAUUGUUUAUUUUAAUUCAUUAAUUUGGUUUUUAUUUUAAUUAGGUUAUAAAAUCAAUCACUUCAAUUUCUAUUUUACAAUAAUUAAAUGGAAUCUGAUUAGUUCGAAUUUUUUAAUAAUCCCUGUGUAGACGACCUUGCGAGAUCCGUUUGUACUACAAUAACCUUGUGAUUCUUGCAAGUAAAAUAGGAGAUUUAAGCCCGUUCACAUGAGUAGUAAAAAUCCUAUCAGGAUCCAAACAUAUUCGUAGUAGUGUGAGUUGCAGCCGUGUCUUCAAGCUCAAGUUCAAUUUGUCCCUGUUGUGUUAGCUUUAUGAUGAGCUCCUUGAGAACAAAAUACUUACCAACCAGAUGACUCACGAUACGAUGGUAUUUGCAGUACCUAAGAUCGUUAACGUGAUUCAUAUCUUUAGGGCACUUGCAUUCAGGUAGCUUGAUUACUUUCUUUUCUAACAAGUCGUCUAGCAUUAUGGCCAAGUCAGAGUUCAAAAAAGGGUACGUCUUCUAGUCCAGUUCCCUCAAGGUGUUUUUAUACCUAUCUUGGGUGCGAGAAGGCUCACCUCUCUUCAUCUCCUUUGCUUUGUUCUUGGAGGAGAUCUUCACGAGCGCGAAUGAGGUCUUGAUGGGGGUAACGUUGACAGUAAAAGCUUCCUUGGCGAGCUUCUUCCUAGUCUUAUCCACCUUCGGAGCAAACACCUUGUCUUUCUUGAAGUCGUGAUUGGCUCUUUUUCCCAUGAUUGUUGAUACUCAACUCCAUGUUGUGUCAUCGAGUUGCCAACUCCUUAAACAUUCUCGAUUUUAUGCCCUAGAGGAUGUAAUGUAACCCCCAGUGCAUGCCUUGAACACACAUCUCAAUGGCGGAGGUUUCAGAAAGCUGAUCUUUACAAUCCAGACUUAAUGAACACCAUCUGUUGAUGAGAUAGUCUCCCUCCGUCCUAGUAUUGUUGCAGGUUUUGAUGAAAUGGCCAAUAUGUUGUUUAGGAUUGCCCUUUUCCAUUGAAUUGCAUGAAUUUUGGCAGCUAAUAACCCAUCAGCAUCCUCAAGGUGUCAAUCCUUUUAGAGUAUGGCUUUGAGUAUAGCACGGAAUCAACGCCUUGAUCGUGCUUGUGAUCAUCUCUUGUAGCUGUUGGAUAAAGAGAUAUCUCAUGAGCAUCGCAGCUCUAUCCACCUCUAGCUUCUCUUCGGCUCUUUCCACCAGAGGCUUUUGUUCUUGUCGAUUUUUUUCUUUGGUGGAUCAACCUUUAGGUCAGCUUUCUCAUUGUGAUGCGCGUUUUGACGAUUGAUGAGUGUAGGGAUCUGCAAGCCUUUUUCCUCUACGGUCCUUAUCAGCCUUGCGAUUACUUUGCUCAUUUAUGCCAGCUACUCCUUGAUGGAAGUUGCACCAAUAGUCAUGACUUGAAUGGCUACAGAUACGAACUACUGCUUGAUUCAGCAUUGAAAGUCAAUGACUCAGAGUACAUCAUCGGGCUUUCUUCCCUUGGUGCCCUUAGUGAGGCCAGGGUGAUCAUGGGCUCGUGUCUCUGGUGCUUUUGCUUAUUCAGCAGAGUUGAUGUAGGGGUGGAAGGCAUGGCAGAGAGAGCUCUUGCUUUACUUCGGGUUCUGAUGCCCAAAAUUCCACCACUUGCAGCAAGGAUGCUCUUGUUCUUCGUGUUGGUAACAGGAAUAGCUUGAUCAUUUGUUGAUGUCAUUUGUGCUUUUUUGCUGCUUUAAAGACAGAGAUGAGAGGCAGAGAGGUCCCACUGGGCAUGCCAAAUUUGUAAACAUGAAAAUUAUGUAACGAAUGAAACGAGAACACUUGUACAAAGUAGAUUUCUAUUGAUUUGAAUUUGUAGGUUACAAUCUCUAUUUACAAUUUUCCUAUGAUUCAGUCUUCAAAUUUCAUGUAAAUGCGUAGGUUGUUGAUCCAAGGGCCGCGAUGAAUUGAUCUCGGACGAAUGGUUGAAUGAUUGCUUUAAAUUUUAAGCUUGAAACAAUGCAUGGAUAGCCUUUACCUCAAGGUGCGGCAAAGAUGAUGUUGAUGCGGGAUUUCAUUGAUUCAAGGGUCUUGGCGACUUGAUCUUGAAAUGAACGUCAUUACACGUUUUAAGCUUGUAACAAAGUCUUGAAGCAAUUGGCACAGGUGCUUGUUGAUUCUUCAAGGGGAGUGCUUCGCUUUUAGUCAAAAGAAAGCUUCGGCUUUAGUUGUACGUUCUUCGAAGAGAGCUUUGGCAACAUAUUAAUCUUCAAAGAUUUGUGCAAUUUUCGACCCCUUUGUGUGUCUUAGAUCCUUGUAUUUAUAGACUUCCAAAGCCAUGCCUUUGGAUGGAUUUGGCUUUGAUUUGUGUCUUGAUUCAUCCAUGGAAGAAUUUUGGCAUUUUAUGUGUCUUAAUUUCAACCACCUUUCUCAUAUUGGCCGAAAUUUAUAGGCCUUGUUGCCUAUUUGUGAGCAAUCUUCAAUUCUUGCUUAUUUUGUGAAAAUGAUUUGGCUUUCUUUCCAAUUUUGAGAGAUUUUGGGCCCCUUGACAAUUUUAAGGGAUACUUUCUCCCUUAUGCCAAAUUUUGGAAAGGUUAUGUACUUCCUUUGCUUGAUUUGUGCCACAUGUCAUUGAUGACUUGUCCAUUUGUGAUGAAUCAUAUGCCACGUGGAACUUUGUGAUGCAUCAAUUGCGUGCAACAAAAUUUACAUGUCUACAGUCCUUCCUGGUUGUUACAAUGCAUAAAACUUUGAUCUUGGCAGCUGAGUCUAUGCACGUUGAUCAAGAUGUUGUCGAGUGUGUUAAGGAGGUUGAGGUGGCAUUGACUGCUCAGCUUUGCUUGGCUGCUAAAAAGAUUGAGAAACUCAAAUCUGAACUCGCCAUUUUGAAAGGAUCUAAUGUCUUUGCCUCAACUUUUGUGCAAUUAGAGACCGUUCAUUAGAAGGAAGUUGAUUUGAGGCUAAGCUUAAUUCGACUCGGGCAAUGUUGGAAGCUACAUAAAAGGAAGUCAAUGACCUUAAGCAGGUCAAUUCUAAGCUAUUGUCUACUUGUUUUUCCAAGGACGAGGAGAUUGUCUUCAUGCAUGCUGAAGCAUCUCGUCUCAAGGAUAUUGAAAGUAAGUUUGAGUCCAAGGCAGUGAAUCUACAAGGUACAUUGUCUGCUAGCGAGAACCUGAAUAAUGAACUAGAUAAGCUACAGGAUGCUCACACUAGGCUUUUUUAGGAGAAUGUGUAGCUGAAGAAUGAGAAGGACAAUCACGAAGCGGUGCUUGCUUCUUGUUAGGCCGAUUUCUACAAGCUUGGCUAUGUAGACCAUCUCCAGGGUAGGGCAUCGAAUUAUGAGUUUUUCGAGAAUGAAUUCGAGACUUUCUCCAUUUCUCCAAUUGAUUUGCUUGACUUCUCGUUUGCAUAUGCCUUUGGUGAAGUAGUAAAAGGCCAGUCUAUCCAGGUCAGAGAGGCUGAGGAUGAACUAAUGGAAGCUUUGGUUGCUGAGAGCAGUGCGGUUAAUGAAGGUGUGGCAGUCAAGGAACCAGUGACUGUGCAGUCUGCCGAUGAGUAGUCUUUUUGUUUAGACUGAAGAAUUUUCUUCUUUUCUUUUUUGUUUUGCUUUAUUUGAACUUUGUCGACCUUCAAGCCAGUUUAUCAAUUUGCUAGAAAUUUAACAAACAACUUUCCUUGCUUUAAUUCAUCCUUGCUAUUUCGCCAUGUCUCUUGCAGAACUUCACCAUAGGAUGGUCAGCUAGGUGAACUGCUUCGAGGAAGCAGUUGUUCCCACGUCGUUUUAGUUUCAGCUUCGAGGCUUUGGGAGCCUUGCUUGCUUAAGGCAACUUGCAAAACUUUUUCAUAGGAAGGGCGGCUAGGUUGACUACUUCGAUGAAGCAGUUGAUCCCACGUCGUCAUUUUAGGCUUUAGUAUUGGCCUUGAUGCUCAGGGAGCUUUACCUACAAGAGAAAAUAUGCAAGUUCCUAACUUAUAGAACCGGCGGCCGGACUUGUGGCUUUUGUAGAAAGCAGACGAGUUCGCGUAACUGCUGUAGUUGUGAACUUUGGCUUUUAUGACUACGCGAGCCUUGGCCAUGUUGCAAACUUUCUAACUUAUAGAGUCGGCGACUGGACAUGUGCUUCUUGUAGAAAGAAAAAGAGUUCGCGUUGCUGCUAUAGUCGUAAAUCUCAGCAUUAACGGCUUAACGAGCCUUGGCCAUCCCUUGGGAUGUUGGAAAAUUUCUAACUUAUAAAGCUAGUAGCUGGACACGUGCUUCUCGUAGAAAGCAGAGGAAUCCACAUAGCCACUAUAGUUAUACAUUUCAGAUAUUUGACAUGCCAAUGUAGGUCUUGACUUACAGAUUACCUAGUAGGUGUAAGCAUGACCACUUCAGGCAUUGUCCUUUGCUCUCGGAAGCAUUUUAGGCUUAAGUUGUAUGCAAAAUCAUGACUCGAUGGCCAUAUCCUUUAGGGCUGCUAGUCCCUUAAUCUUCUAAGCUGCACGCAGCUCAAUAUGGUGAAGGAAAUUUUGUGAAAAACAUGUUCAUUUAAGCAACAUCUAUAGCAUGCAAUUAACAAUUAAAAGGUGGAAUCAUGCUUGUAUGCACUUAAAAACAAAACAUUAACCAUGAAAUUCAAAGCCUAGUAGUUGGGUGAACCAAGACUCAACUCAAAACAACAUUUGUUAGUUGAGAAAUUAUACCUUUGUAGAUUCCUCUUUGCAUAAGCAAAGGCUAAUCACCCAAAGAGAGGGCCUUCAUUCCUUGCAUCUCAGAUCUAUGGAUUUGGAUGGAUGAAAUGGUUUUCCAAGUUCCCAAAAUUGAGAACCUCUAAGUCUCUUCACCAAGGUUAGAUUGGAGAAGAAAUGAGUGACCUUGGAGUAGUAGGAUUGCUAGCUAAACCCUCCAAGGAGGCCGGCCACUUUAGAGAGAAAGGAGAGCUUAUGUUCUCAUCCUUUCCCCAAAAAGAAAACCCUAAAUGAAUUUUGGCUAUAAAGUCAUAUUUAUACCUUAAUUCAUUGGAGUGGCAAACUUGUAAAUAAGUCCAAAACUCACUCCAUCUCUAAAUGGCCGGCCUUAGGGUAUUAUUGGGCUAAUUGGGACUUUGUGAAUCAUUAUUCAUUAAGUUGUCAUACAACUUAAGUCAAUGGGCUUGACGUUCGAAGCCCAUUGGGCCUUAAGGUCCAAAACUAUCCCAAGGUCUUUAACGAACUUAUUCGUUUGAUUAAUUAACAUAUUAAUUAAUCCUGGCCAUAAAUAAUUAAACCAUUUAAUUAUUCUUACUCAUCUCCAUUGUUUCUUCAAUAUCCACUUUGCACGGUGUAAGAUCCAUUACGUUCCUUUUAGCGAGGCAGUGGGCGAUUAAAACCAUUUCAAAUCGAUUGUGAAUUGAAACUUACUUUCAAUUCUCCCUUUAGUGAUUAUACACGUUUAGGGCUUCCACAAACCAUGAGUGACACCUAGCAGCAUAUCAUGGUUACCGAAGCUAAUCAGAAGAGGUGGAGAACCUAUUCAGUUUAGGAUAAUACGGUCUUUCUCUAAUACAAUACUCUUGACCACAUUGUUUGGUUUGAUAGUUUAUUCAUGUCUACUAUCCAAUGUGAUUCGUGUGCUUAUAUGAUUACCUUGAAUGUGAUUUGGAACGACGUCCUAAAUCUCAUUCAUACUCUGGCCAGAGAUUCUUAAUCAUAUCAUAGAGUAUUCUCCUCCAAACGGUUCGAAGGUUAGAGAUCCCUUGUUGUGCAUUCACUUGCCUCCAUGGUUAAGUGGCUUAACCCCGACGAUGCCGUGGACACCCGCGGAUGGGGUGACUUUGACAUAAUCAAAGAUCAAGUACCUAACCACAAGACAACUAUGAUGCCUCAAGUCACAGGACUACUUUGCAUUAUCCCAACCAUGAGUUCUCAUGUGACAUGAAUAUGAGAACUCUUCGUUGAUCGUGUUCAGUGAACUCAUUCUCUAUUGAGCACCUACGUACUUGUCUUGAUGUCACACACACCAAUGACUCGAGACUAGUCACUCUCCUUGAGAGAAGACACAGCACGUACUGAUCUUAACGGACUGUCAAUGCCCAAUUGGCAAUCCUAUGAUCAGGAACGUUUAGGAUGUGUCUACAAAAGAAUGGUCUCAUGAAUCUAACUUCUUUAGAUCGCAUUCUCCCAAUCACAUAUUCCUUGGACUUAUCGUUUAAGCGUAUAACAUUUAUAUGAGACGGCUUAAACAAUAAUCUUUGCCCUUGAUAUUAAACUAGAUUAGUUUAGAAUGUGAAAUGUCCGUAAAGUAUCAUCAUAUGAUUGGUUUUAGGGCACAUUUCCAACAUAUGGAUCUCUAGGGUAGCAAUUGUAACUGAUUUCGCAUGUCACUUGGCUUGUAUUGCAACACUUUAGAGCCGAGUUACAUUCAUGAAGACUGCAUUUCAUGGUUGGACCAUCUACUUAGACAAAUCUUUCAUGGGCAAGGAUUCUACACUUAGCGUCUCUUCUGGUUAAAGACUCGGGUUCCCGCGAAAUUAAAUCUUUCAGUCGGCUAAGUCUUUUUAGGAAAAAGUCCAUUGUGGCCAAUUCUAGGAGCGUCCUAGCGCAGGUAGUUGAAGCAUUCAAAGGAACUGAGCAGUCAAACAACCCAUCCACGUUUGGAGAUCCCAAAUCAGUUUACCCUCUCUUGAUAGGAGAGCACACUCCAUGUUUGCUAGGGCAGGGGAGUCUUCUGCUUUGGCAGGGGUGGUCAGUUGGGAUGUUUAUAUAUUCAGCCCAGACUUGUAAAUAAUUCCUUCAAUCUUUAUUUAAAAUAGAGAACUGUAUUAACUUUGUUUGUAGGCAGAAAUAGCAUAACAACUGAUAAUCUUAGGCAUGUGAGGUCUUGUUUGUUGAGUUGCUUGAGUCUUUGAACUUUAUUUGUCUUGAAUAGGGUCAAAUGAAUGGUGGGAGGUCACACGUUGUACUUUCUUAGGUUGUAGGCAUUUCACUACUUUCUGAUCCUUUUUGUUGCUCAUAGUUGGUUAUGAAGGCUUUUCUGAUAACCAAGUCUCCUGGCUGAAAUUGCCAGAUCUUCGCCCUUUUAUUGUGGCUGUAGAGGAGCUGCUGUUAAUAAGCCGCAAUGCAGGUGAUAACCUUUUUGCGCUCUUCCUCUACCAAAUCUAACUUUGAAGCCAUCUUAUUCUUAUUCUACAUGGAAUUCGAAAGUACAAUGCUGAUGCUGGGCACCAUGAUGUUUGGAGGAAUGAUCGCCUUAAAGCCAAAUGGUAGGGAGAACAAAGUUUCACUGGUUGCUCAUCUUAUCCAGCCACUUGCUCUUUUUGUUUGAGAAUGACUUAUUGAGGUAGUCAAGAAUGGUCUUGUUGAAUGCCUCGACCUGCCCAUUGCCCUACGAAUAUCGAGGCAUGGUCUGUGAUGAUAGAGUAAGGGAUGCCGAAGAAAAUGAGUACUUCAAAGUAAGGGAUGCCGAAGUAGCAGAUGAUGUUUUUCCAUAUGAAGUGCUCUAUGUCCAUCUGGGUAGUUGUAGUCAUGGGUUCGACUUCAACCUAUUUUGUGAAGUACUUGGUCGCUACGAUCAUCAUGCAUCUGCCCCAAGUGGUAGGUAGCAUUGGUCCCACCAGGUCAAUAGCCCACUGUAUGAAUGGUUAAGGGCUCGUCUGCGGCUGGAGUUUGUUAGUAGGUAAUGCAGGCACGGGCUUGAAGCGUUGGCAGCUGUCGCACCUUUGUACAUACUCAUUGGCAUCUUGAUGCAUGGUUGGCCAAUAGUAGCCUACAUUAAAAGCUUUUUGCACUAGAAAAGGCCUCCAAAGUGGUUUCCACAAACAUCUUCGUGGAUUGAGCUAAGUAUCUUCAAGUUGUCGGGAGGCAAUAGGCAGUGGAGAUGUGGUCCUGAGAAGGAUCUGCGAACAAGCAUGCCAUUCCACAUAUAAUAGCAUGCUACCUUCAUCUAGAGCUUCUUAAACUCUAGUUUGUCUGUGGAAAGCGUUCCAUUGUCUAUUAUAGUUGAUGAUGGGAUCUUACCAACUCAGAGUUGUGUUGAUAUGCGCCACCUCAACUACUAAUUCCGCAUCUAUGCUCGACUUCUCCAAGUACUCGACCAGGAUUGAGCGUUUAACCUGAUGGUCUAAGUUAAAGCCUAGGCUUGCUAGUGCAUCUGCAUGGGCAUUUUCAGUUAGUGGAACCUAAGUAAGUGUGUACACCUAGAACAUCUCUAGCUACUCUCGUUCCUUCUCAAGGUAUCGAGCCAUCCUUAGAUACUUUGUUGCUUACUCCCCUAAGGUUUGGUUGAUGAUCAACUAGGAAUCCGAAUAAAUAGUGAGCUUUUCAACCUCUAGGUCUUUCGCCAAUCGAAGACAUGUUAGUAGAGCUUCAUACUCUCCUUUGUUGUUUGACACUUUGAUUGCAUGUUUGAGCAUUGAAUCGUUUGGGAUAGUGAGGACUAGACCUAUUCCCAAGCCUUGGUAGUUAAAUGAUCCGUUGACUUGUAGACACUAGAAAUCUCCUACAAGUAGGGUUGGUGCGGAUAUAGUGUGCUCGGCUGCCUCUAGGUGUUUCUGAGCUAAGUUUCUACGUCUUUUCGGCUUGGGGUGAAUUCUACUACAAAAUCCGCGAAUGCCUGGGUUUUUAUCACCGUAUGAGGUUGGUAUGCUAAGCCAUAUUGGCCAAGUUCCAACGCCCAUUUCUUCACUCAUUGAGAAACGUCUAGACUAUGCAAAACUAAUUGUUGGAAAUGUGCCCUAAAACCAAUCAUAUGAUGAUACUUUACGGACAUUUCACAUGUUAAACUAAUCUAGUUUAAUAUCAAGGGCAAAGAUUAUUGUUUUAAGCCGUCUCAUAUAAAUGUUAUAUGCUUAAACGAUAAGUCCAAGGAAUAUGUGAUUGGGAGAAUGCAAUCUAAAGAAGUUAGAUUCAUGAGACCAUUCUUUCGUAUACAUCCUAAACGUUCCUGAUCAUAGGAUUGCCAAUUGGGCAUUGACAGUCCGUUAAGAUCAGUACGUGCUAUGUCUUCUCUCAGGGAGAGUGACUAGUCUCGAGUCAUUAGUGUGUGUGACAUCAAGACAAGUACGUAAAUGCUCAAUAGAGAAUGAGUUCACUGAACACGAUCAACGAAGAGUUCUCAUAUUCAUGUCACAUGAGAACUCAUGGUUGGGAUAAUGCAAAGUAGUUCUUUCACCUGAGGCAUCACAGUUGUCUUGUGGUUAAGUCCUUGAUCUUUGAUUAUGUCAAAGUCACUCCAUUUGGAGGGUGUCCACGACAUCGUUGGGGUUAAGCCACUUAGCCAUGGAGACAAGUGAAUGCGCAACAAGGGAUCUCUAACCUUCAAACCGUUUGAGGGAGAAUACUCUAUGAUAUGAUUAAGAACCUCUGGCUAGAGUAUGAAUGAGAUUUAGGAAGUCGUUCCAAAUCACAUUCAAGGUAAUCAUAUAAGCACACGAAUCACAUUGGAUAGUAGACAUGAAUAAAUAAACUAUCAAACCAAACAAUGUGGUCAAGAGUAUUGCAUUAGAGAAAGACCGUAUUGCAUUUGUAAUCCUAAACUGAAUAGGUUCUCCACCUCUUCUAAUUAGCUUGGGUAACCAUGAUAUGCUGCUAGGUGUCACUCAUGGUUUGUGGAAGCCCUAAAUGUGUAUAAUCACUAAAGGGAGAAUUGAAAGUAAGUUUCAAUUCACAAUCGAUGUGAAAUGGUUUUAAUCGGCCACUGCCUCGCUAAGGAACCUAAUGGAUCGUACACCGUGUAAGGUGGAGAUUGAAGAAACAAUGGAGAUGAGUAAGAAUAAUUAAAUGGUUUAAUUAUUUGUGGCAAGGAUUAAUUAAUAUGUUAAUUAAUCAAACGAAUAAGUUCGUUAAAGACCUCGGGAUAGUUUUGGACCUUAAGGCCCAAUGGGCUUCGAACGUCAAGCCCAUUAACUAAGUUGUAUGACAACUUAAUGAAUAAUGAUUCACAAAGGCCCAAUUAGUCCAAAAAUAUCCCAAUGGCCGGCCAUAUUAGAGAUGGAGUGGGUUUUGGACUUAUUUACAAGUUUGCCACUCCAAUGAAUUAAGGUAUAAAUAUGACUUUAUAGCCAAAAUUCAUUAAGGGUUUCUUUUGGAGAAAAUUGGAGAGAACAUGUCUCUCCAUUUCUCUCUAAAGAUCUAGCAACUACUCCUCCAAGGUCACUCAUUUCUUCUCCAAUCUAACCUUGGUGAAGAUACUUAGAGGUUCUCAAUUUUGGGAACUUGGAGAAACUUUUUCAUCCAUCCAAAUCGAUAGAUUUUAGAUGCAAGGAAUGAAGGCCCUCUCUUUGGGUGAUUAGCCUUUGCUUAUGCAAAGAGGAAUCUACAAAGGUAUAAUUUCAACUCACUUUGUUUUGUGUUGAGUUUUGGUUCACCAAUCUACUAGGCUUUGAAUUUCAUGGGCAAUGUUCUGUUUUUGAAUGCAUGCAAGCAUGAUUCCACCUUUAAUUGUUAAUUGCAUGCUAUAGAUGUUAUUCAAAUGAACAUGUUUUAACAAAACAAUCCUUCAAGUGGUAUCAGAGCCUAGGUCUAGUAGUUGGUGAAUCCUUUUGGGUUUUGUAGCUCAUAGUUUGUGAUUUAAAAGUUGUAAUAUGUUACAAGCUUUAUUCUUGUUUCUUUGAAUGUAAAUUUUGUUAGAAAAUUUGUCAUCUCAAAUGUUGUAGAUGUAGUUCAUAUGAGCAUGAAUAUUGGAGCUAAAAUUUGGUGCCAUGAUUUUGGGAAAAUUCGGCCAAAUCCAUAGGGUGAUUUUUUGGGUUCUUGUUUGACUUGUUAAAAGUGUUUUAAAGUGACUUUUGGAACCCCUAUGUACCCUAGUUUGGUUAUAUGUUAUUUCCCUAAAGUUUGAAUGGUUUUGGGAUGUUUUUGGAUGAAAAAUGUUCAUGGAAAUUUUUUGGGUUUUUCAUGAAUGUUCUUCAUUGUUCUUGACAUUUUUGCCAAGAACAAAAAGUUUGGUGUUUUGAUUCAAAGUUUUGAUUUAUCUCAUAAAGUUUAUGUUUUAUGAAUUUUCAAAUGUUUAAAUGUUUUAGAUAUUUGUUUAAAUGGUGUAAGAAAUAUUGGUGGGUGUGUAAGGAUUAAUUUCCUUUCACACACACCACUUGCACCACUUGAUUGCUUUAUGUCUAAACUACAAAUCAACACACACAUCACUCCCUUUCCUUCUCCAAAACCGGCCCUCCCUCAAGUGGGAGUACUUUUGGGGCUUUUAUGCAAUUACAUAAAGUUUUGAUACUUUUGUGUAUUUGCACUUUGGCCCAAAAGUUUACGUUUUUACGUUUAGGUCCAAAAACGCUAAAGGACAAAUUGUUUUGCUCCUUUAAUGAAGUUUUUGCAUUGUUUAAAUUUUGGGUUCUAGUGUAAUUACAUGAAGUAGUGGACUUUUGUGUUCUUACAAAGUGACCCCAAAAGUUUAUGUUUUCGCAAUAUAGCCAAAAAGGUUGUGGUUAUUGCAUGAUGGCCCAAAUUAGGUAGAGAACAAAAUUGUUUUGUCUCUUUAAAUGAGAAUUGGAUUUUCAUUUCAUUUAGCUCCAUUUAAAUCAAUUUUAUGGAUACAAAAACCAAAUGAAAAUGUUGCAUUCAAUUUAAUUAGUUAAAGUGUUAAUUAAUUAAAGGAUGAUUAUGAACCUAAGCCUACGAUAAUUGAGCUAUGUGAUAGGCCGUUUCAAAUUUGUUUGAACCAUGGGAAUAUGUAGAUUAGAUUUUGGUUGUAAUUUGAUUUUAUCAAAUGUUGUAAAAGGGCAUAAGCUCUUCUUUACUUCAAGGUAAUUUGUUUUAUGCAAAUGUUGUAAUGAGCAUAAGCUCACCUUUACUUUGAAGUACUUCUUUCUUGCUUUAUUUGAUAUGCAUGAAAAUGAAGUAGUUGGGUCCAAAGCCAUUUUAUAAGCAUAAUGGGAGUAUUAUAUACAACUAAAAACAAUCAAAUGGACCAAUAGUUGGAGUAUUAUAUACAAGUCAACCAAACCAUUAUUAAGUUGAUAAGCGAGAGAUGUUUGGAAUAUCUCUUCGUGGCCUUCCACCGUGGUAGCUCCAAUCGUUUAUGACUUGUACACCGUCUUCACCCUAUCAUGGGGAAGUGCAAAGUGCAUGCUUAUACUCAGGAGGAGUCUAUAUACAUACUUGAUGAGGUGAGUGUAGGCAACGAGGAUGGCCAACAUCAUAUCAUUGUGAGGCUAUUCUUGAACCCCUUCAUGAACUAAGCAUGGUGGGAAUGACUUAACUAAGUGCAAUGGAGCCAACAUCAUAUCAUUGUGAGGUGACAUUCUCUAGAGGCCAAAUAAGAUGGGUACUUGCAUUAGAUGCAAAUGAGUAAGUGUACUCUCUCAUUGUUAUUAAUGCUAGCCAACAUCAUAUCAUUGUGAGGUGGGCUUGGUAGUAGUGAGUUUCCCAUACCCUACUAAGAGUUUCCUCCAAAAACUCUCGAAUUCCAACGAGGGAUAUGGAAUUUGCCAAAAAUAGUGGGUGGUGCUAUUUGAUUUAAAGACCCGGAUCAAAUGGUUUAAAAUCAAUCAAUUUAUAUUCGUUAUGUAUUUGUUUACCAAUAUAUUUGCAAACGCUAUCCAACACUUGACAAAUAAAAGCCGAAAGCUUUAGUUUCCGGACUUGGUACUACAAAACCAUAGAUUGUCUUUAAUGGCUUGUAAAUGUACCUAAGUAGUCUCAUCCUCACAAUCUUCCUAUUGAUAAUGUAUCAUUAGAAGAAUAUGUUAGAAAAUGUCUAUCAUAAUGAGGACAACACUUUUAAUGUCAUAAUUCUUCAAUUACAAAUUGUUGUAUGAAGAAAUAAGAGUUGCUUUGAACAACCCUUAAUCAAUGCAAACAUUAGUGCUUGUUUCUUUGUUACAUGAACAAGGAACUUUAGAAGUAAGCACAAGGGCAUGGACACUUUAUGUGCCAUGAUUCUUCACUUACAAAUUGUUGUAUGAAGAAAUGAGAGUUGCCUUGAACAACUCUUGGAAGUUUGUAAUUAUAUUUAGAACAUAAUGGUUGGUUGACAAAAAUAGUCCAUCAACAUGGACUUAUAAUGAUUUUAAAUCAUUGAGUGUUGAAGUGUUAAAACCACUUAAAGAGACGGAAACUAGGCAAGGACUUCACCUUUGUUUCCCUAUCCUAAUGGUUCACUAAGUUUAUUGUAAACUAUGUAGUAAACAAUAACCACAUACUCUCCAAAUUGUUUGAUGUGUAUAACACAAUUGGAAAAGGUUUCAAGAGAGAUAGUGGGAGUUUAGGGACCAUGACUAUUGUAGUCAAAGGAGAAGUCAAAUAAAGAAGAUAAAAUAACUCCAAGGGAACAAACUUUCUUUAUGAAAGGAUGGACAUUGGAAGGGGUAUUUGCAAGAAAUGUCUUGCAAGUGUCAAGAAACACACCUUUCGAAGGUGUUGUAAAUUGUUCAUGAAAAGUUCAAAACAGUUGGUUCUUCUACUUGAAUGCUUGAUUCCGUAUUAGUAACUAUGUUUUACAAUCGUUGUAAAAGUGUGACUAAUAAGAAGUAGAAGAUAUAUGAGAGAAGAAAAGGUGCUUCACAUUCGGAACGUGAAUAAAAUAUAGAUCUCUGCGAAAGCAGAUAGUACUUACUUCCUCAUAUGAACUACCAAAGAAAUUGGAAAAACCAAAGAUUGUCUUUACAUUCCAAUUUUAAGGAACUUAAUUCCGUCACUAUAGUAGAGAUGGAUGAAUGUUUUGUUUGACAAAACAUUGUUCUUUAUUAAUCAAUGAUUGGAUUAUAGUAAUCUAAUUGAUUGCCUCUAUAGUAGAGAUGAUAUGGUAGUGUUAACUGUUUAGAAUAUAAUGAUGCUUAAAACCCAAAAGGUUGCAAGGUAGUGACUAAUCCCAACUAAGUUGGUGAAAGAUGGAUGCUUUGGAUUGUUAGAUCCGGAUCCAAUACCUUCUUAUUAAAAUUGUAUAGAGGCGAAAUGUUCGAAUCUUUAUUCUUUUGGAAAGAAGAAAGAAUCACAAAGUUGUUGAGGUUAAUUCACUUAGAUGUUAGUGGCACUUGUCCACAACAUAAUACUACUCAUGUUGUAUGACAUUCACCGAAGAUCACUCUCGGUUGGACUAUAGUUUAUUAGAAUAAACACAAGUCCGAAUACUUUGUAAAAGGUUUCAAAGAAUUCAAGAAAUGUAAGUUGAUGAGUAAGACGUCUAAAGUCUUUACCUCCUUAGAUUUGAUCCAAGGAAAAUUAACACUUUAGAUGAGUUUCCUUGAAAGAUAUCAAGAAAAAGAAGCAUCAUAAGAUAAUGUAUUUCUCCAUUAGGAGAAGAACGAACUUGAAUAAGAUUUAGUUCGUUAGAUGUUAUCUAUUACCCUAUAUAGGAUAUAUACUUCUAAAACCAUAUGAUUGUAAAUUAGAAGAUCUUUCCAAAAUUUUCAUGACUCCAUAAGAUGUAGUUGGAAAGAAAGACAAAUCUUAAGCAUGUUAAGAUUUGGGGUUGUGUGCUAAUAAGCAAUAUUUGUUUGAUAACAAUCUUGUGGGAUAUCCUUAAAUUAACUUUUGGAUAUUGCUUCUAUAAACCAACUAACAAAUGUUGUUUUGUUGGGUAGUUCAUUGUAAUCCUACAAUAUGAUUUGCCUAUGAGCAAAUGAAUGAGAGAUAGAACUCAAAGAAUGGGUUCUUUGAGAGACAAGAUAAUAAUCAACAAAUAUAACAACCUAGUUCCUGUACCACAAGCUCCAAGAUAGUCUAGAAGGAUUUAUAAACGGUCUCAGUUGAAUGGUUUGAACUUUAUGACUAUGUCAUAGAGUUGCACCUCUUAAUUCGAAAGAAAUAAGAAUGAAAAUCCUUAUGACUACAUUGAAUGUAUAUAUGAUAUAUACUCAAGGAAAUGGUAAAGUACCAUUUGACCCGAAAUAAUGAAACCUUCAUAAGCUAAUUGGUAGCUUAAGGUGACUACAAUCAAAGAGAAUGGUUGACUUUGAAGAAACCAUCUUUGAGAUAGUCUUGGUUUCAAUUAAUUCAACGAUUGCUAGCUACAACUAAAUGGUGAUCCAAUAUUUGGACAUAAUAUGGGUUUCCGAAACCAUUAUUAAGAUAGUCUUGAUAAUAUAUGUCUAAAACUAUAAAUCACAAGACAUGUAAGUUGUAGAGAUCCAUCCAUCAUGAAUCUUAGCAAGCUAGUGGGAGCUAUAAGCAUCUUAUAAGAAAAGGAUCAAAUCGUUUGAUUUCUCAUAAAUAUGUAAAUGAAUCUUUUGUUUACUAGGUUUACAAAAGAUUAGUGGGAGUUAAUCAUGUUCCUAAAAUUUAAAUAUAUAUGAUAUAUUAAUUUGGGAAAUGAAAAGAUCACUUCUUCGUUAAAGUUAUGAAUUUAAAACAUUAUAUAAAGAUAGAAUGUAUAUGGGAGACAUAGUCUAUAUACAUGGGAUGGAAAUCUAUAAUGAUAGAUUUUAGGAUAUAAUUUGAUUAUAUCAAUCCCUAAUAAUAGACAAAAGAUGCUAGGAAGUUUCUCAUAUGAUGAUAAACUUCAAUCAAAAGGACAACUCUAGUAAGACUAAGAAGUUGCUCUUCUCAAAGAGAACGUACUCUUUGACUCCCAUAGAAAUAAUGCGUAAAUAGAAUCCUUUAUGCAUAAGCAGAAAAGAUGAUUUAUGUAUUUCAUAUUGUAUGAAAAACAUUGAUAUGAGUUGCACCUAGAACGGUACAAGACGAUAUCAAUGCAAGCCCAGGAUCAGAACCAUGGCAACUGUCAAGUGAAUCCUUAAGUAUUUAAGAAAUACUAAAAGGAUAGAUUCCUCAAAGAAUGAGGAAGAAUUAGAGUAACGUAAUGGAAGCGUAAAUGUAUUAGAUUGUGAAGUAUUAAAUUGUGAAUCUAAUCCAUCAUUGGAUGUUCCUUCAUUAUGAAUGAAGAGAUAAACAGAUAUCUCUUUAUUAUGACUAAAGAGAUAUUUGGAUGGAAACAUUAAAGUAAUGACUUUAGUGUUCCAUUAUGAAUGCAAAAUAUAUUGCCAUAUAGAAGUUUACAACAAUGUUGUUUGGAUGGGAAAGUUCAUUUAUGAACUCUCUAUUCUGUUCCAACCAGAAAGUGUAUGACACUAAUGGGGCGAUAGCUCAAGCCAGGGAAUCAAGGUCUCAUCAAGGUCUGAACUCAUAUGAGAGACUGAACCACAUGAUUAAGAAUCAUGUAUAAUGGUGACGUCGUUAUUCUCAAGGUUGCUUCUAUGGAUAACAUAUAGAUAUCCAUUGUCUAGGCCUACUACUCAGCCAUUUAUGAAAUGACUACAGAAGAGGUAUCAUCACUGAUGACCAAGCUGAUUGGCUCUAGUGCAAGUGGGAGAUUGUUGGAAAUGUGCCCUAAAACCAAUCAUAUGAUGAUACUUUACGGACAUUUCACAUGUUAAACUAAUCUAGUUUAAUAUCAAGGGCAAAGAUUAUUGUUUUAAGCCGUCUCAUAUAAAUGUUAUAUGCUUAAACGAUAAGUCCAAGGAAUAUGUGAUUGGGAGAAUGCAAUCUAAAGAAGUUAGAUUCAUGAGACCAUUCUUUUGUAUACGCAUCCUAAACGUUCCUGAUCAUAGGAUUGCCAAUUGGGCAUAGACAGUCUGUUAAGAUCAGUACGUGCUAUGUCUUCUCUCAGGGAGAGUGACUAGUCUCGAGUAUAAGUACGUAGGUGCUCAAUAGAGAAUAAGUUCACUGAACCCGAUCAACGAAGAGUUCUCAUAUUCAUGUCACAUGAGAACUCAUGGUUGGGAUAAUGCAAAGUAGUUCUUUGACCUGAGGCAUCACAGUUGUCUUGUGGUUAAGUCCUUGAUCUUUGAUUAUGUCAAAGUCAC
rnacentral:lncRNA from 1 species